rnacentral:lncRNA from 1 species
UAGCAAAAGAAGUUGCGAGAAUCAAGAAUAUUGAGCUCAUGCCUAAGUUUGGUAAAGGUUUGUUCAUCAAGAGGCUUGGUAAAGAUAUCGGCUAAUUGAUCUUUAGUGUUAAUGUAAGAAAUCUCGAUAUCCCCCUUUUGUUGGUGAUCCCUAAGAAAAUGAUACCGAAUGGCUAUGUGCUUAGUGCGGCUAUGCUCGACGGGAUUGUCGGCCAUUUUGAUUGCACUCUCAUUAUCACAUAGCAAAGGAACUUUGGUUAAUUUGUAACCGUAGUCCCGCAGGGUCUGCCUCAUCCAAAGCAAUUGCGCACAACAAUGGCCUGCGGCAAUAUACUCGGCUUCGGCGGUAGAAAGAGCGACCGAAUUUUGCUUCUUUGAAGCCCAUGACACCAAGGAUCUUCCCAAGAACUGGCAAGUCCUCGAUGUGCUCUUCCUAUUAAUCUUACACCCUGCCCAAUCGGCAUCCGAAUAACCAAUCAAAUCAAAUGUGGAUCCCCGAGGGUACCAAAGCCCAAACUUAGGUGUAUAAGCCAAAUAUCUCAAGAUUCGUUUUACGGCCGUAAGGUGGGAUUCCUUAGGGUCGGAUUGGAAUCUUGCACACAUGCAAACGGAAAGCAUAAUGUCCGGUCGAGAUGCACAUAAGUAAAGCAAUGACCCAAUCAUCGACCGGUAUACCUUUUGAUCCACGGACUUACCUCCCGUGUCGAGGUCGAGAUGCCCAUUGGUUCCCAUGGGUGUCUUGAUAGGCUUGGCAUCCUUCAUUCCAAACUUGCUUAGGAUGUCUUGAGUGUACUUCGUUUGGCUAAUGAAGGUGCCCUCUUGGAGUUGCUUUACUUGGAAUCCUAAGAAAUACUUCAACUCCCCCAUCAUAGACAUCUCGAAUUUCUGUGUCAUAAUCCUACUAAACUCUUCACAUGUAGACUCGUUAGUAGACCCAAAUAUAAUAUCAUCAACAUAAAUUUGGCAUACAAACAAGUCAUUUUCAAGAGUUUUAGUAAAGAGUGUAGGAUCGGCUUUUCCGACUUUGAAGCCAUUAGCAAUAAGGAAAUCUCUAAGGUAUUCAUACCAUGCUCUUGGGGCUUGCUUGAGCCCAUAAAGCGCCUUAGAGAGCCUAUAGACAUGGUUAGGGUACUCACUGUCUUCAAAGCCGGGAGGUUGCUCAACGUAGACCUCUUCCUUGAUUGGUCCAUUGAGGAAGGCACUUUUCACGUCCAUUUGAUAAAGCUUAAAGCCAUGGUAAGUAGCAUAGGCUAAUAAUAUGCGAAUUGACUCAAGCCUAGCUACGGGUGCAUAGGUUUCACCGAAAUCCAAACCUUCGACUUGGGAGUAUCCUUUGGCCACAAGUCGUGCUUUGUUCCUUGUCACCACACCAUGCUCAUCUUGCUUGUUGCGGAAGACCCAUUUGGUUCCUACAACAUUUUGGUUAGGACGUGGAACCAAAUGUCAUACCUCAUUUCUCGUGAAGUUGUUGAGCUCCUCUUGCAUCGCCACCACCCAAUCCGAAUCUUGGAGAGCUUCCUCUACCCUGUGUGGCUCAAUAGAGGAAACAAAAGAGUAAUGUUCACAAAAAUGAGCAACCCGAGAUCUAGUAGUUACUCCCUUAUGAAUGUCGCCGAGGAUGGUGUCGACGGGGUGAUCUCGUUGGAUUGCUUGGUGGACUCUUGGGUGUGGCGGUCUUUGCUCUUCAUCCUCCUUGUCUUGAUCAUUUGCAUCUCCCCCUUGAUCAUUGCCGUAAUCUUGAGGUGGCUCAUUUGCUUGAUCUUCUACUUCAUCAACUUGAGCUUCAUUCUCAUUUUGAGUUGGUGGAGAUGCUAGCGUGGAGGAGGAUGGUUGAUCUUGUGCAUGUGGAGGCUCUUCGGAUUCCUUAGGACACACAUUCCCAAUGGACAUGUUCCUUAGCGCUAUGCAUGGAGCCUGUUCUUCACCUAUCUCAUCAAAAUCAACUUGCUCUACUUGAGAGCCGUUAGUUUCGUCAAACACAACGUCACAAGAAACUUCAACAAGUCCUGAGGACUUGUUAAAGACUCUAUAUGCCCUUGUGUUUGAGUCAUAUCCUAGUAAAAAGCCUUCUACAGUUUUAGGAGCAAAUUUAGAUUUUCUACCUCUCUUAACAAGAAUAAAGCAUUUGCUACCAAAAACUCUAAAGUAUGAAAUGUUGGGCUUUUUACCGGUUAGGAGUUCAUAUGAUGUCUUCUUGAGGAUUCGGUGAAGAUAUAACCGGUUGAUGGCGUAGCAGGCGGUGUUGACUGCUUCGGCCAAAAACCGGUCCGAAGUCUUGUACUCAUCAAGCAUGGUCCUUGCCAUGUCCAAAAGAGUUCGAUUCUUCCUCUCCACUACACCAUUUUGUUGAGGCGUGUAGGGAGAGGAGAACUCAUGCUUGAUGCCCUCCUCCUCAAGGAAGCCUUCAAUUUGAGAGUUCUUGAACUCCGUCCCGUUGUCGCUUCUUAUUUUUCUUGAUCCUUAAGCCGAACUCAUUUUGAGCCCGUCUCAAGAAUCCCUUUAAGGUCUCUUGGGUUUGAGAUUUUUCCUGUAAAAAGAAUACCCAAGUGAAGCGAGAAUAAUCAUCCACUAUUACAAGACAAUACUUACUCCCGCCGAUGCUUAUGUAAGCAAUCGGGCCGAAUAGAUCCAUGUGGAGUAGCUCAAGCGGCCUGUCGGUCGUCAUGAUGUUCUUGUGUGGAUGAUGGACUCCAACUUGCUUCCCCGCCUGGCAUGCGCUACAAAUCAUGUCUUUCUCAAAAUGAACAUUUGUUAAUCCUAAAAUGUGCUCUCUCUUUAGAAGCUUAUGAAGACUCUUCAUCCCAACAUGGGCUAGUCGGCGGUGCCAGAGCCAACCCAUGUUAGUCUUAGCAAUUAAGCAUGUGUCGAGCUCAGCUCUAUCAAAAUCUACUAAGUAUAGCUGACCCUCUAACACACCCUUAAAUGCUAUUGAAUCAUCACUUCUUCUAAAGACAGUGACACCUACAUCAGUAAAAAGACAGUUGUAGCCCAUUUGACAUAAUUGGGAAACAGAAAGCAAGUUGUAAUCUAAAGAAUCUACAAGAAAAACAUUGGAAAUAGAAUGUCAGGAGAUAUAGCAAUUUUACCCAAUCCUUUGACCAAACCUUGAUUUCCAUCCCCGAAUGUGAUAGCUCGUUGGGGAUCUUGGUUUUUCUCAUAUGAGGAGAACAUCCUUUUCUCCCCUGUCAUGUGGUUUGUGCACCCGCUGUCGAGUAUCCAACUUGAGCCCCCGGAUGCAUAAACCUACAAAACAAAUUUAGUUCUUGAUUUUAGGUACCCAAACUGUUUUGGGUCCUUUGGCAUUAGAAACAAGAACUUUGGGUACCCAAACACAAGUCUUUGACCCCUUGUGUUUGCCCCCAACAAACUUGGCAACGACCUUGCCGGAUUUGUUAGUCAAAACAUAGGAUGCAUCAAAAGUUUUAAAAGAAAUGCUAUGUUCAUUUGAUGCAUUAGGAAUUUUCUUCUUAGGCAACUUAGCAUGGGUUGGUUGCCUAGAACUAGAUGUCUCACCCUUAUACAUAUAAGCAUGAUUAGGGCCAGAGUGAGACUUCCUAGAAUGAAUCUUCCUAAUUUUGCUCUCAGGAUAGCCGGCAGGGUACAAAAUGUAACCCUCGUUAUCCUGAGGCAUGGGAGCCUUGCCCUUAACAAAGUUAGAUAAGUUCUUUGGAGGGGCAUUAAGUUUGACAUUGUCUCCCCUUUGGAAGCCAAUGCCAUCCUUGAUGCCAGGGCGUCUCCCAUUAUAAAGCAUGCUACGAGCAAAUUUAAAUUUCUCAUUUUCUAAGUUGUGCUCGGCAAUUUUAGCAUCUAGUUUUGCUAUAUGAUCAUUUUGUUGUUUAAUUAAAGCCAUAUGAUCAUGAAUAGCAUCAAUAUCAACAUUUCUACAUCUAGUACAAAUAGUGACAUGCUCAAUGGUAGAUGUAGAUGGUUUGCAAGAAUUAAGUUCAACAAUCUUAGCACGAAGUAUAUCAUUCUUAUCUCUAAGAUCGGCAAUUGUAACUUUGCAAACAUCAAAAUCUUUUGCCUUAGCAAUCAAAUUUUCAUUCUCUAAUCUAAGGCUAGCAAGAGAAAUGUUUAAUUCUUCAAUCCUAGCAAGCAAAUCAUCAUUAUUAUCUCUAGGAUUGGGAAUUGAAACAUUACAAACAUGAGAAUUAACCUUAGCAUUUAAACUAGCAUUUUCAUUUCUAAGGUUGUCAAUCAUCUCACGGCAAGUGCUUAGCUCACUAGACAAUUUUUCACAUUUUUCAACUUGUAGAGCGUAAGCAUUUUUAACCUUAACAUGUUUUUUAUUUUCCUUGAUUAGGAAGUCCUCUUGGGAGUCCAAGAGAUCAUCCUUCUCAUGGAUGGCACUAAUUAGUUCAUUUAAUUUCUCUUUUUGUUCCAUGUUAAGGUUGGCAAAAAGAGUACGCAAGUUAUCUUCCUCACCACUAGUAUCAUCACCAGAAGACUCAUAUUUAGUGGAGGAGUUGGAUUUAACCUUCUUCUUUUUGCCGUCCUUUGCCAUGAGGCACUUGUGGCCGACGUUGGGGAAGAGAAGUCCCUUGGUGACGGCGAUGUUGGCGGCGUCCUCGUCGUCGGAGGAGUCGCUUGAGCUUUCGUCGGAGUCCCACUCCCGACAAAUAUGGGCAUCACCGCCCUUCUUCUUGUAGUACCUCUUCUUCUCCUUUCGCCUCCCCUUCUUGUCGUCACCUCGGUCACUGUCACUAGAUAUAGGACAUUUAGCAAUAAAAUGACCGGGCUUACCACACUUGUAGCAAACCUUCUUGGAGCGGGACUUGUAAUCCUUCCCCCUCCUUUGCUUGAGGAUUUGGCGGAAGCUCUUGAUGACGAGCGCCAUUUCCUCAUUGUCGAGCUUGGAGGCGUCUAUUGGUUGUCGACUUGGUGUAGACUCCUCCUUCUUUUCCUCUGUUGCCUUGAAUGCAACGGGUUGAGCUUCGGAUGUGGUGGCAUCAUCAAGCUCGUUGAUCUUCCUCGAGCCUUCGAUCAUGCACUCAAAACUCACAAAAUUCCCGAUAACUUCCUCGGGGGUCAUUUUAGUAUAUCUAGGAUUACCACGGAUUAAUUGAACUUGAGUAGGGUUAAGGAAAAUAAGAGAUCUUAGAAUAACCUUAACCAUCUCGUGGUCAUCCCACUUUACGCUCCCGAGGUUGCGCACUUGAUUCACCAAGGUCUUGAGCCGGUUGUACAUGUGUUGUGGCUCCUCCCCUUUGCGAAGCCGGAACCGACCGAGCUCCCCCUCGAUCGUUUCCCGCUUGGUGAUCUUGGUGAGCUCAUCUCCUUCGUGCGCGGUUUUGAGCACAUCCCAAAUCUCCUUGGCGCUCUUCAACCCUUGUACUUUGUUAUACUCCUCUCUACUUAGAGAGGCGAGGAGUAUUGUUGUUGCUUGAGAGUUGAAGUGCUCGAUUUGGGCCACCUCAUCCUCAUCAUAGUCUUCAUCCCCUACUGACGGUACCUGUGCACCAAACUCAACAACAUCCCAUAUGCUUUUGUGGAGCGAGGUUAGAUGAAAUCGCAUUAAAUCGCUCCACCUAGCGUAAUCUUCACCAUCAAAAGUUGGUGGUUUGCCUAAUGGGACGGAAAGUAAAGGUGUAUGUUUGGAAAUGCGAGGGUAGUGUAGGGGGAUCUUAAUAUACUUCUCGCGCUCUUGGCGCUUAGAAGUGACGGAGGGCGCAUCGGAGUCGGAGGUCGAUGUUGAUGAAGUGUCGGUCUCGUAGUAGACCACUUUCCUCAUCCUCUUGUGCUUGUCGCCUUUCCGAUGCGGCUUGUGGGAAGAAGAUUUUUCCUUCUUCUCUUUGUGGUGAGAAGAGGAAGACUUUUUCUCCUUCCGUUUGGAGGAGUCCUUCUUCUUCUCCUUCUUCUUGGUGCGGGACUCUUCCGAUGAAGUGCUCCCGUGGCUUGUAGUGGGCUUUUCGCCGGUCUCCAUCUCCUUCUUGGCGUGAUCUCCCGACAUCACUUCGAGCGGUUAGGCUCUAAUGAAGCACCGGCCUCUGAUACUAAUUGAUAGUCGCCUAGAGGGGGGUGAAUAGGGCGAAACUGAAAUUUACAAAUAUAAACACAACUACAAGCCGGGUUAGCGUUAGAAAUAUAAACGAGUCCGCGAGAGAGGGCGCAAAACAAAUCGCAAGCGAAUAAUGAAGUGUGUGACACGCGGAUUUGUUUUACCGAGGUUCGGUUCUUUCAAACCUACUCCCCGUUGAGGAGGCCACAAAGGCCGGGUCUCUUUCAACCCUUCCCUCUCUCAAACGGUCCCACAGACCGAGUGAGCUUCUCUUCUCAAAUCAAAGCCGGGAACAAAACUUCCCCGCAAGGGCCACCACACAAUUGGUGCCUCUUGCCUUGAUUACAAUUGAGUGUUGUUCACAAGAGCAAGUGAGAAAGAAAAGAAGCAAUCCAAGCGCAAGAGCUCAAAAGAACACGACAAAUCUCUCUCGCUAAUCACUAAAGCCUUUUGUGGAAUUUGGAGAGGAUUUGAUCUCUUUGGUGUGUCUAGAAUUGAAUGCCUAGCUUAAGUGGUUGAGAAGUGGGAAAACUUGGAUGCAAUGAAUGGUGGGGUGGUUGGGGUAUUUAUAGCCCUAACCACCAAAAGUGGCCGUUGGGAGGCUGCCUGCUCGAUGGCGCACCGGACAGUCCGGUGCACACCGGACAGUCCGGUGCCCCCUGCCACGUCAUCACUGCUGUUGGAUUCUGACCGUUGGAGCUUCUGACUUGUGGGCCCGCCUGGGUGUCCGGUGCACACCGGACAGGUACUGUUCCUUGUCCGGUGUGCCAGUAUGGGCACGCCUGCCAUCUGCGCGCGCAGAGCGCGCAUUUAUUGCGCGGCAGAGAGCCGUUGGCGCGGAGAUAGCCGUUGCACCGGAGUCGCACCGGACAGUCCGGUGCACACCGGACAGUCCGGUGAAUUAUAGUGGACUUAGCCGUUGGCGUUUCCCGAAGCUGGCGAGUUCCUGAGGCCGACCUCCCUUGGCGCACCGGACACUGCCCGGUGUACACCGGACAGUCCGGUGAAUUAUAGCCGAGUCGCCUUUGGGAAUUCCCGAAGGUGGCGAGUUUGAGUCUGAGUCCCCCUGGCGCACCGGACAUGUCCGGUGGCGCACCGGACAGUCCGGUGCGCCAGACCAGGGGUGUCUUCGGUUGCCCCUUUGCUCCUUUGUUGAAUCCAAAAGUUGGUUUUUUUAUUGGCUGAGUGUGAACCUUUUACACCUGUAUAAUCUAUACACUUGGGCAAACUAGUUAGUCCAAAGAUUUGUGUUGGGCAAUUCAACCACCAAAAUUAUAUAGGAACUAGGUGUAAGCCUAAUUCCCUUUCACCAUCUUUGGUCAUGGUUGAGUUCGGAGGAAUUCCCGUGCAUGCUUGGGAGCUAGCUACGGCGCAAAAUCUGUUGCGUGAUAUCUGUUCUGAUGUGGAGCUUCAUCCCGACACAGUCAAUCGUUUCGAUUUUUCUUCGUUCAAGGUCUUCGGGUGGUGCUAUCGGCCGCAUCUCAUUCCGGCCUCGUUCGAACUCCUCAUCCCGGAGCGGGUGUUUGGUUCGGGAGGGCCUCCCGCGGUGAGGCGCUUGUUGUCCUACCCGGUGACGGCCUCGGUUUCUCGCGUUCCCCUGGCGGAGGCUGUGUUCCGCUUUCUUUCCCUCCGGCGCCGACGUCUAGUGGAGGUGACAGGGAGACGGGUUCUCGCCGGCCAAGGCUGGGGCGGGGUGCGCCGGUGAGGCUUGAUGGUUCUUCUUCGGCGGUUUCUUCGGCGGCUUCUCAGUCCGGGUGGAGGCACGUGCAUGGGCGGCUUGGCCUCGCCCCUAUGCAUGGGCGACACGUGGCCUCUGGCCGGUGGCCGUUGCAUGGCGGUGUGCAGGGCGGUGACGGCUCGUUUCCUGUGACCGCGUGUGCUGGCCCUGAGGAGCGUGGGCGGGACCCCAUUGAUGGUGGUGCUCUUUUUGGUGGAGUCAUUCUGGCUCCCGAGGUGGAUGCUGUGGUCGGGCGUGCUGAGGGACCUGGCUCCAAUGGUGGUUCGAGCCAGGGUCCUUCGGUCGGUUUUCCGUCCUCGUCGGGUGGGCCGGGCCGAUCCCUGGAGUCUGUCGGGCCAGUUCGGCCUUUGGAGAUUGUUGGGCCGGAGAUUGAGUUGCAUUUGGGUGGGUCCGGUGUGGACUCUGGCGAUCUGCGCAGCACUUUUGUUGGUGGUGGAGUCGCUCCGUCGCCGGCUGCCGGCGCUACUCCCGUGGCGGCGAAGGCCGGUAUGGUCCCCGCUGCGGAUGCCGACAUGAUCCCUCCGUCGCCGACUGCCGGUGCUCCUCCUGUGACGAAGGAUGCCGGCAUGGUCCCUGCUGCGGAUGCUGGUUUGGUCCCUCCGUUGCCAGCUGCCGACGCUGCCGACAUGGCCCCUGCUGCGGUUGGGCCCCCCUCUUCCUUCCCUGCUGCUGCGAGUGGUGGUUUGCCCGUUGCCGGGUCUGGGGAACCAUCUUCGUCGUCGACUGCGCCACCUGUGCUGACGGGAGGGAUGAAGUCGCUCACGAUGAUGUUGGGUCCUGGCACGAGGAUUUGGCCCCGUUCCCCAAUCACCUACUCCGUAAGGNNNNNNNNNNNNNNNNNNNNNNNNNNNNNNNNNNNNNNNNNNNNNNNNNNNNNNNNNNNNNNNNNNNNNNNNNNNNNNNNNNNNNNNNNNNNNNNNNNNNUAUGCUUGGUUCUUGAGUGUUGGACCGGAUUGGUAGCCAAUUUUACCGCACUCUCAUUAUCACACAUGAGAGACACAUUCUUGAAAAUAAUUCCAUAGUCCAAUAAGGUUUGUUUCAUCCAUAAUAGUUGAGCACAACAAUUUCCGGCCGAUAUAUAUUCCGCCUCGGCGGUAGAUAGAGCAACCGAAUUUUGUUUCUUAGAAGACCAUGAAACAAGAGAUCUACCAAGAAAUUGACAACAACCGGAGGUGCUUUUUCUAUCAACUUUGCACCCCGCAUAGUCCGAAUCCGAAUAUCCAAUUAAUUCAAAUUGAGCACCUUUGGGAUACCAUAGACCAAUAUUGGGAGUAUACUUCAAAUAUCUUAGAAUUCUUUUACGGCCUUCAAGUGAACCUCUCUAGGUGAAGCUUGAAAUCGAGCACACAUGCAUACACUAAACAUAACAUCGGGCCUAGAUGCGGUAAUAUAAAGCAAACUACCAAUUAUUGAACGAUAAAGUUUUUGAUCAACCAUAUACCUCCUUCAUCUAAGUCUAGAUGACCAUUUGUUGCCAUUGGAGUCUUGAUAGGCUUAGCAUUUUCUAAACCAAACUUCUUGAGCAUGUCCUUCAAAUAUUUUGAUUGACUUAUAAAAAUUCCAUCUUUCAAUUGUUUGAUUUGAAGGCCAAGAAAGAAGCUCAAUUCUCCUAUCAUAGACAUUUCAAAUUCUUUGACAUCAUUUUCCGAACUCCUCACAAAUAAUUCAUUAGUAGAUCCAAAAAUAAUAUCAUCAACGUAGAUUUGACAAACAAAUAAGUCUUUGCCAAUUCUUUUAGUGAAUAGAGUAGUGUCAACCUUCCCAAUUUUGAAGUCUUUGGAAAGCAAGAAAUCCCUAAGCCUUUCAUACCAAGCGCGUGGAGCUUGCUUAAGCCCAUAGAGAGCUUUAGAAAGCUUGAACACAUGGUUAGGUCUUUUGGGGUCCUCAAAACCGGGAGGUUGUUCAACAUACACUAGUUCACUAAUCUUACAUUUAGGAAGGCACUCUUUACAUCCAUUUAGUAGAGCUUGAUAUUAUGUGCACAAGCAUAAGCAAGUAGAAUCCGGAUUGCUUCUAAUCUUGCUACGGGAGCAAAUGUCCCCCAAAUCCAAUCCUUCAAUUUGAGUAUAUCCUUGUGCAACUAAUCUUGGCUUGUUUCUUACUACCACACCAUCUUCAUUGUGCUUGUUGCGAAACACCCAUUUUGUACCAAUAACAUUGUGGUUCUUUGGUCUCUCAACAAGCUCCCAAACUUCAUUUCGAGCGAAGUUAUUUAAUUCUUCAUGCAUUGCAUUCACCCAAUCAACAUCAAGUAGAGCUUCAUCUACACGGUUAGGUUCCAACAAGAUACAAAAGAGAAAUGUUCACAAAACGAAGCUAUGCGAGAGCGAGUUUGAACACCCUUACUAAUAUCACCCACAAUUUGAUCAACCGGGUGAUCCUUCACAAUGGAAUGAUGAAUUCUUGAUACCGUUUGAUAAUUGCUUGAUGAAGCAUUAGGAGGAACCGAAGGUCUUGAAGUACCUUGAUCAUGAGUAUCCAUGGUUUCAUUAAGUUGUUGGCUUUGGUGAUCUUCCUUAUUUAUAGUUGAGGAUGAAGGAAUGACAACCACACUAUCUUCAUCAUCAUCUCCUUUGGUUUUAUUUCACCAAUGGCCAUUGUUUUCAUUGCAUUUAUCAAUUGAGUUCCCCCAACAUCAUCGAGAUUAUCACCCUCAUCUUGAGACCCAUUUGUUUCAUCGAAUUCAACAUCAUAUGCUUCUCAAUAAUACCAUGAAUUUUGUUGAAGACUCUAUAAGCCUUAUUAUUUGAUGAAUAUCCAAGAAGAAAACCCUCAUCACAUUUCUUCUCAAAUUUAGAAAGCCGGCUCCCCUUUCUCAAAAUAUAACAUUUGCAACCGAAUACCCUAAAAUAUGAGAUAUUUGGCUUUCUACCAAUGAGCAAUUCAUAUGGAGUUUUCUUCAAGAGCUUGUGACAAUAUAGUCUAUUUGAUGAAUGACAAGCGGUAUUUAUUGCUUCGGCCAAUAAGAAUCCGAUAUAUUAUAUUCCGCUAACAUAGACCUUGCCAUAUCAAUAAGAGUUCUAUUCUUUCUUUCAACAAUACCAUUUUGUUCCGGGGUAUAUUUUGAAGAGAAUUCAUGUUUGAUACCCUUGUUAUCACAAUAUUGAUCAAUUCUUGCAUUUUUGAAUUCCGACCCAUUAUCACUUCUAACCUUUUUGAUGUCGAAAUCAAAUUGAUUUUGAGCCAAUAUAGCAAAUGACUUGAAUGUUUCAAACACAUUGGAUUUGUCUCGUAGAAAAUAGACCCAAGUAAAUCUUGAAUAGUCAUCCACAAUCACAAGACAAUAGGAAUUACCACCAAUACUUACAAAAGAUGUGGGCCCAAAUAAAUCCAUAUGAAGUAAUUCCAAGGGUCGAUGAGUGGACAUUUGACUUUAUUUGGAUGAGUGUUUGCCACUUGCCUUACCGGCUUGACAAGAGCUACACAAUUUGUUCUUUUCAAACUUCACAUCUUUUAAGCCUCGAACUAAGUCAUGCUUGGUUAACCGAUUGAGUUGCUUCAUCCCAACAUGACCAAGUCUUCUAUGCCAUAACCAACCUAGUGAAGCUUUUGAAAAUAGGCAAGUUGUGAGCUUUGCCUCAUUAGAUGAGAAAUCAACAAGAUAAAGAUUUUCAUGUCUAAAACCUUUAAACUUAAGAUUGCUACCAUCAACACUAGAGAUAAUAACAUCUUCAACCGUGAAAUUGCAACAAAAUCCUAAAUCACAUAAUUGAGCUACGGAAAGUAAAUUAAAAUUCAAAGACUCAACCAAUAGCACAUUUGAUAUAGAAUGAUCAUUUGAGAUAGCAAUUUUACCCAAACCUUUAACCUUUCCUUUACGAUUAUCUCCAAAUGUGAUACUAUCAUAAUUUGAGCAAUCUUCCUCACUCAUUUGGGUAAACAUUUUCAUAUCCCCGGUCAUGGUGUUGAGUACAUCCACUAUCCAACACCCAAUGAUUCCCUCCCGCCUUGUAGUUUACCUACAAAAGGAAAUCAAUCUCUUUUAGGUACCCAAACUUGCUUGGGUCCUUGGAUGUUAGUGACCAAGGUCUUUGGUACCCAAAUAGCUUUCUUUUUGUUUCCAACAAUUGAAGUACCAACAAAUUUAGCAUGAACACCUUUUGCAUUGUGAGAAAGAACAUAACAAUGCUCAAAACAAGUGGAGGAUACAUUUUUGAACUUGGGACAAUUUUUCUUAACAUGUCCCUUUUUGUGACACUUGUGACACACUUUGUCACAUUCUUUCACAAACAAUGUCUUUUGCUUUACAAAAGCAUUCUUUCCUUUCUGGGAACAUAUCCAAGACCUUCACGGUUAAGAGAGCAUCUUUGACUUCCCAAUAUGAAAUCCAAUUUAGUCUUACCACCAUAUGCCUUUUCUAAGUCAUGAGUUAGAGUAUUUAUUCUAUCUACUAACACUUCAUUCUCAACAAUAAUUUUUGAUUCAUCAAGAGCAAUGUUAUCAUUGAGAGAAAUUUUGCAUUUAUCACAAAUAAAGUUAGUAGGUAGUGGUUCACUUGUAAGACUAUCAAGUAAGUCACAAGUGACUCCAACAUCCUUAGUGACCACCUCAACUUCAUGCACAAUAGAUAAUUUUGAGCAUCCGCAAGCUUCUCACAAUUUUCUUUGAGGUCAUUGUGAGAGGUCUUGAGCUCCUCAAAAGACACUUCGAGGUUUUUAUACAAUUCCUUCAAGGCCUUAAAUUUUUCUUUUUCUUUGUGCAUGUAGUCAUCGGCCUCACCUAACAUUCUAACAAGAUCAUCAUAUGAAUAGCCAUCAUCAUCGACAUCAUCGAUAUCAUCAUCAUCAUUUAUAUCAUUUAAAUCGGUGAUGAUUUUACCUUAGCAUCUCCCUUUGCCAUUAGGCAAUGGGGGAUGAGAAGAGUGAGGGAGCUUCCUUGAUGGCAAUUCCGGCAUUAAGCUUGGAUGAGGUGUCAUCAUCAUCAUCAUCCGAGCUAUCAUCCGAGUCCCAUUCAACUAAGUAGGCUUUGCCAUCUUUCUUCUUGUUAUAGUAUUUCUUUUCUUCUUGUCACUUUCAUCUUUGCCCUUCUUCUUCUUGCUUGGACAAUUCAUGGCAAUGUGACCAGGUUCCCCACACUCAAAACAUUUUCUAUCAUUGAAAGCAUUUCUUCUAGAUGUUUGACCUCUUCUAGGUUGACCUCUUCUCAUCUUCAUGAAUUUAUUGAAUUUCCUUACAAAUAAAGCCAUGUCACCAUCACUCUCACUUUCAUUUUCUUCAUCAUUGCUAUCUUCCUUUUCAAUUGCCUUUGAGGCCUUGGCUUUGAGAGCAAUAGAUUCAUUUUUCACCUUCUUUGCCAAACUUAAAGCAUCGGCUUGUGACUUCUUAAAUAUAUCUUGAGUGAGAAUUUCUCCCAAUACUUCGGUUGGAGAGGUUGUAGAUAGAUCACUCCUUACUAGCAUUGUCACAAUAGUCUCAUAUUUCUCCGGAAGUGAUCUAAGGAACUUGUGUGUGAAGUCCACAUCCGGUACAUUAAAACCAAGUCCUUUGAGUUCAUUUACUAUCUCAUUCAACCGAUUGAACAUAUCGGAUACACUCUCAUCUUCUUUCAUAAUAAAUUGCUCAAACUUCCCUUUGCACACAUAUAGUUUGGCACUCUUCACAAUUGUAGUUCCUUCAUGAAUUUCCAUUAGUUUUACCCAAAUCUCAUGAGCGGUUGUGAGAUUCUUGAUACGAUUGAACUCAUUUAUAUCAAGAGCAUCAUAAAAGACAUUCAUGGCUUGAUCAUUUGUGAGGAUAUUCUCAUUAUCACUAACGGAUGGUUCAUCUUCCUUCAAUACAACAAAUCCAUCUCUAACAAUUGGCCAAAUUUUUCCACCCAUUGCUCUAAGAUGCAUUGACAUUCUUAUUUUCCAAUAAUCAUAAUUGUUUCCAUCAAAGUGCGGUGGCUUCCCAAUGUGCACAUUGUUGUUACUAGCCAUUUUGUCCCACUCCGGGAUGAUUAGAUCCACAAACACUGGAGUCCUCGGCUCUGAUACCACUUGUAGGAUCUAGGACACCGGCUAGAGGGGGGGUGAAUAGACGGUUUUGACUAAAAACAACAAUACUAAGUAAAUUUAAUCAAUACGACAAGAGGAAUAAAUUUACUAGUGUCAAUAAGUAAACAAUGUAUGAAAGACAACUACGGAGAUUGAAUACUUGAAGAACAAUAAGCAAAACACUAAUCAAUUGCAAGGCAAUAAGUAAUGCUAGAAGGAAUAGACACCGAAAUUUAUCCCAUGGUAUCGAUGAUUUGCCGAUCACCCCUAAUCCACAUUGAGGUGGACUUCAAGCUCUCACUUGCUCCUCUAUCAAGACACGACUUGAUCUUUGAGCCAAGUGGACAAGAAAUCACUCAAUACCUCGAUUCCACUAAUGUCACCUUUGCCGCUCCGGCGAGGUAGGCACGAACCCUCACAAUCAACACCGCGGCUUCUCCACAAUCUUCUUGGAGAGCUCGACGGAGACAAUCACCCGAGCCGUCUAGGAGGCGGCAACCUCCAAGAGUAACAAGCCAAUGACGCUUGCUCGGUGUACCACCUAGUGCCUCAAGAAUCACCAAAUGAUGCAAAUGCACUAGGAACCCUCAAUCUCUCACUAGAAUGCAAUCUCAAGCAAAGAGUGUGAGAGAGUGAGUUGGAGGAUCACAAAUGAGCUCAAUGUGUGCAAGGAAUGGCCAAGAGAGGUCUCUCACACGAGCUACCCUUCUAUUUAUAGCCCCCCAUCUAAAACCAACCGUUAUGUGCAAAAGGGGGCAAUUCUGCGCACACGCGGACCGUCCGCGCCCUAGGCCCGGACGGUCCGCCGUACACCAUAACGGCUAUAAUGACCGUUGAAACAUGUCAGAGCUGUUUCAAAAGGUGGGUCCGGACAGUCCGCCCUUCAAGGCCGGACCGUCCGCGACCUGGCAAAUUCAAACACCCGAGCCUCGGAUCAAACGGAGUUAACACACGCGGACCGUCCGGCUAUAAAUCCCGGACCGUCCGCGACCUGAGACAGUACUGUCCGGACUGGUCCCCCGGACCGUCCGUAGUACAAAUCUAUAAAAACACACAGUCCCUGUCCAAAAACGAGUUAGACACAUGCGGACCGUCCGCCCUCACAGGCGGACCGUCCGCCUAUAAUUCAGGGACUGACCCGAAGCCACCUUCCUUUGGUCAGGACUGCGGACGGUCCGGCCCUAAGGCCCGGACGGUCCGCAGUACAAUAGAACACAGUGUCAACACAAAUGGUAAGACUUCGGACCCUCUGGAGGGUCGCGGACGGUCCGCCCCAAGGGCCGGACAGUCCGCGCGACCAAGACUUCUCAAAUCUCAAACAUGCUUUUGAAUGAACUUUUAACUCACGAAAUGAGAAGCGCUGUUAGUCCUCAUGCAAAUGCAACUACUUGAUGCUCUAUGAGGCACUAAGUUUUACACAGAUCUAAGUCAUUGACCCCUCUUAAUAGUACGGCUAUCUAGCCUACUAAUCCGGUCAGGUAUCUUCUCUAAACUCCUCAAGACCGGCAAAAGUAAAACCUAUAUUAUACCUUUGCCUUCAUCUGAUCCACAACCAAUGCGUAUGACUCUUCAACAUUUCCUGUUCUAUGUGGUCCAACCCUGCAUUCUUAUUUCUCCAAGAAUCGUUAGUCCACAAGUAGUUGUCAUUAAUUACCAAAACAUUACCAAAGGGGACUAGAUGAUUCACACUCAUACAUUCUGAUCUUUGUGAGAUGAAUGGUGUGUUGACAAAAGGUGGUAAGAGAUACUUCAUGACAUUGAUUGAUGAUGCGUCUAGAUUUUGCUAUGUAUACUUGCUAAAAACUAAAGAUGAGGCUUUAGACUACUUUAAAAUCUAUAAGGCUAAAGUUGAAAACCAACUAGAGAGAAAGAUCAAACGUCUUAGAUCAGAUCGUGGUGGCGAGUUCUUUCCCAAAGUCUUUGAUGAUUUCUGUGCAGAACAUGGCAUUAUUCAUGAGAGGACUCCUCCCUAUUCACCCGAGUCAAACGAGAUUGCUGAAAGGAAAAACCGUACGUUGACUGACCUGGUGAAUGCCAUGUUAGACACUUGUGGUUUAUCUAAGGCAUGGUGGGGGGAGGCAGUCCUGACUUCAUGUCAUGUUCUGAAUAGAAUUCCUAUGGGCAAAGAAGAGAAAACCCCUUAUGAGAAGUGGGUUGGGAGAAAACCAUCACUUUCAUACUUGCGCACUUGGGGUGCAUGGCGAAAGUCAAUGUACCAAUUAAUAAAAAGCGCAAGCUUGGUCCAAGGACAGUGGAUUGUGUCUUUCUUGGAUAUGCUUCGUGUAGCAUAGCAUAUAGAUUUUUAGUAGUUAAAUCUGAAGUUCCUGAUGUGUAUGUUGAUACUAUUAUGGAAUCACGUGAUGCUACUUUCUUUGAGCAUAUAUUUCCAAUGAAAGACAUUCAUAGCAAUUCUAGAUACUCUUCUGAGAUAAUUCCUGAACAUAAUACACCUAUUGAGAGUUUUGAACAGCCACAUGAAAUUGUCCUAGAGGAGGAUGACAAUGAUGCUCCUAAAAGGAGCAAGAGACAAAGGGUUGAAAAAUCCUUUGGUAAUGAUUUCAUUGUGUACCUUGUGGACGAUACUCCUACCACCAUUGCAGAAGCAUUUGCAUCUCCAGAUGCAGAUGAUUGGAAAGAAGCAGUUCAUAAUGAGAUGGACUCCAUUCUUUCAAAUGGUACGUGGGAAGUCACUGAUCGACCCUAUGGAUGCAAACCUGUGGGUUGUAAGUGGGUGUUUAAAAAGAAGCUCAAGCCUGAUGGUACAAUUGAAAAGUACAAGGCUAGGCUUGUGGCUAAAGGCUAUACUCAGAAAAAGGAGAAGACUUCCUUGAUACUUACUCACCUGUUGCUAGAAUGACCACUAUUCGAGUACUACUUUCUUUGGCUGCCUCGUAUGGUCUCCUUGUUCAUCAGAUGGAUGUAAAGACAGCUUUUCUUAAUGGAGAGCUGGACGAGGAAAUCUAUAUGGAACAGCCUGAUGGAUUUGUAGUAAAGGGUCAAGAAAGCAAGGUGUGCAAGUUAUUGAAAUCUUUGUAUGGUCUGAAGCAAGCACCAAAGCAGUGGCAUGAGAAGUUUGACACGACUCUAACGUCUGCAGGCUUUGCCAUUAAUGAGGCAGACAGGUGUGUAUAUUAUCGCUGUGGUGGGGGCGAAGGAGUUAUAUUAUGCUUAUAUGUUGAUGAUAUAUUGAUAUUUGGCACAAACAUUGAUGUGAUCAAUGAAGUCAAGUCUUUUCUAUCAAAGAGUUUUGAUAUGAAAGAUCUGGGAGAAGCUGAUGUGAUUCUAAACAUCAAGCUGAUUAAGGCAGAUGGUGGGAUUACUCUCUCGCAAUCUCACUAUGUUGAAAAGGUUUUGAAGCGAUUUGGCUUCUCUGAGUGCAAACCUUCUCCAACACCUUAUGAUCCCAGUGUGACACUGCGAAAGAACAAGAGAAUUGGUUUAGACCAAUUGAGAUACUCUCAGAUUGUCGGUUCACUCAUGUAUCUUGCUGGUGCAACAAGGCCCGAUAUCUCGUUUGCUGUGAGCAAAUUGAGUAGGUUCAUGUCAAAUCCCGGGACUGAUCAUUGGCAUGCACUUGAGCGGGUUAUGCGCUACCUGCAAGGUACAAUGAGUUAUGGAAUUCACUAUUCUGGUCAGCAUGCAGUACUUGAAGGAUAUAGUGAUUCGAACUGGAUAUCUGAUGCAGACGAGCUUUAUGCCACCAGUGGUUAUGUCUUUACUAUUGGUGGAGGUGCGGUAUCAUGGAGGUCAUGCAAGCAGACCAUUUUGACGAGGUCAACCAUGGAAGCCGAGCUAGCUGCACUUUACACAGCAACCGUUGAGGCAGAAUGGUUGCGUGAACUCUUGAUGGACUUGCCGGUGGUUGAGAAACCAAUACCAGCUAUCCUUAUGAACUGUGACAAUCAGACAGUGAUUGCUAAAGUGACGAGUUCUAAGGAUAAUGGAAAGUCAUCAAGACAUGUCAAAAGACGAUUGAAGUCUGUCAGAAAGUUGAGAAACUCCGGAGUUAUAAGUGUGACUUAUAUUUCAACAGAUAAAAAUCUGGCAGAUCCUUUUACCAAGGGACUACCACGUAAUGUGAUAGAAAUCGCAUCGAGAGAGAUGGGUAUGAGACCCGAAUAAAGUUGCCAUGGUGGAAACCCAGUCUAUGUGAUCGGAGAUCCCGUGAAUUAGGUCCUGGGAAGAACAAGCCAUUGGUGAACAGAGGAGAGUAACCUUUGACCCUCUCUAAGUAAAGAUGCAAUACUCUCAAAUGCUGUAAGGCAGGUUGGCUUUGUGCCUUAAUGUGUUCUGUUGGCUUGUAUUAGCGAAGAUGUUGUCCUGCAGAACAUUCUUUGAAAGAACACACCUAUAUGAGUUAGACUGUCUAACGUCGCAGUCUAUGAGAUUUAGGUGAUCUCUAGUAAACUCAUGAAGAGACCUUGGAGUACGACGUAUAUGCUCCACCCGAGAAGGGGACUACUGGUAGCCAAGUACUGGUCAUGACUUCAAGUGAAACCCAUCCACGCAAAACUUGCAAUUCAAGGCAUAGUCCAUUGUCCAAGUUGUGGGUUGGUGUAACUUGGAGUUCUAGGCGGAAGUUCAACUUAACAGUCUCUGCUGAAAAACUGGUAUAUUAAACAGUAGUGAACAGUGGCGAAAACUGCAGAUGGGCAUUUGAGAUCUGGUGGGGGAUUGUUAGUAUUUAUGGGCUUGGCCCAAUUAAGAAUUUCUAAUAAAUCCCAGGAAAAUCUCAAAAGCCCAUAUAAGUGGAUGGCAAAGGGAUAGGUGGAACCAAUAGCACCAUAUUGCUAGCUCUUGUGGAGUAGAACUAACUUAAAUAUGGAAGCCACACUCACUCACCAAGUCAUGGAUGAGAGGAGAGAGUGUGGAGAGCCACACGCGCGCGCUCGCUCGCCUGGCCUGGCCGGGCCGGGCCGGGCCGGGCCGGGGCGGGGCGGGGCGAAGGGCGCGGGCGCACGACAUGCGCGUGAAUGGUCCGCCGAAAUCCGGCCCCUCGCCUUGCGGGGGCGCGGCUACCUUUUGCCGUUUGAUUUUUUGGUUUCUUGGCUGUUACGCUUAUCCUAACCGAUCGCUAUAAAAUCUCAACUGAUUGCGAGAUUUUCGUGGGCGGAUAAGCACAGGGGGUCGCGGACUUGGCCCUAUAAAAGGAGCUCGGCAGCCAGCCUCCAAAUGAUCCCAGAUCCCAGUUCGCCUUCGCCUCUCUUCAUAGCUGAGCCGCCUUUUAGUUCCCUUCGUCCCGACCGCAGAGGUGCAUCUACGAUCAGGAGAGCAGGUCUCCGGAACCCUUCGUCUUCUAGAUCCUGCACCGGGAGAGGGCGAAUAAGGUUUUUGGGAAGCGUCUUCACGCGACUGCUCGUGAUCUUCUGACAUCGUCGACCCAGCUGAUCCUGGCGCGCGCCAACAAUCAGUAAGUCUAAUCAGUACGCAUCAUCUGAUUUGGCUUUUAUUUCAGUUCUUCUGAUUUGGUCAUGAUUUAUAUUCGGAAUUUAAACUGGAAUUUGUCUAAUUGUUCAACAAUGUCCAGCGAGUGCAACUGUGCAAGCAACUAACACGUACAGUACUACGUACGUACGCUUCGUUCAAUACUUGUGAGACAGAUCGGACAGCUCAGCCCGUGAUGAACGAACGUUCCCGACGGAGGGAAACUUGCUGGCCUGUGGCAUAUCCAUAUACAUGUUGUCAUGCAUAUGUAUAUUGCUAACUUGCCAGGUCCAGACUCUAUAGUCCAAAGUCUACGGAGAUGUCCAAAUCAAUGUAUCAUUGGACAUCAUUAUUCAAAGAUCUUGUGCCUACAAACAUUAGGGUUAUAACUUAUAGCCACGGACAGACAAGACCACUCUUACCAUAAGGGGCCGUUUAGAUCCCUUAAGGAAUUAAAAUUUAAUUAAUAGAGUAUGUUAUUUGGUUUGGAAUUUGACGUUUCACUACUUUCUAAAGUUCAGCUAUAAGUCUAUCUCAAAUUUAUAAGAGGGAGAAUGAAAAUUGAUUUUAUUUAUCACUAGUCUAUAUUUCUACUCUGUAACUUAUAGACCCUCUUCAACUCGCUCCCCUAUAAUAGAAAUUCAACAUAUAAAUAUGCCCUGUAUGGCCAACAAUAGUAUACAAAAAUAAUCUAUAUAAAACCAUACUAGCUUAAUUGAUCUAUGCCUAAAUUUUUUUUAUUAUUAUUAGAAUGAAAUUCAAUCAAUGAUCCAAACGAGACCUAAAGGAAAAUUAUAUAUUGCACACCGAUAAAGAGUGAUUUUAACUCUUGGACACUAGAAAUGGUAGUAUUUACCAGGAACACAGCGCCACACCUCAAUGAUACAAAUUCUAUUUUAGGAAAAAUCUUAUUGCCGGGCAAAAGAUCCUCGGGCCCCUGAGACCCAUCGGUCAGAUAGAGCAUGGGAGAAAGACCUCCAGACUACUGGGGACCACCGGUCAGCAGGAGGAUGAGGGAAUCGUCUACCUUGUAAGUGCCCGCCCCGGAUAAACCCCGAGGCACCGAGCCCGGGGUCGGGCGAUGCGGAGCUAGAGAGGAGUGCACUCAAGGGGAGACUGACCCACCAUAAAUGGUCGACCGUAUUAACUACGUCCGGCAUCGAGCCAUAGUAAAGAACCGAUCCGCCUCCCACUGAUGACUUGUGAGCCCCUCGGCCUACUGAAAGGAAAAUGUGCCCUUGGGCCAUUUCUAAGUAUUUUGGUGAUUUAGUGUCCAACACAAGUGCCUAAGUGUAAAAAAGGUGGACAAAGUACAAAUCAAGGAUAAAGGUAUGUUUCUCAGACUCAGUACAUUGUUUUAUGGACUAAUGUAUUGUGUCUAAGUGCUGGAAAUAGGAAAAAUCCAAUUGAAAAUAUCUUGGCUCGAGCAGCCAAGACUCUGCUAAGUCUGGGAGCACCGGACUGUCCGGUGGUGCACCGGACGGUGUCCGGUGCGCCAGGCUAGCUCGAGCGAAGUGGCAGCUCUCGGGAAUUCACCGGCGACGUACGACUAUAAUUCACCGGACUGUCCGGUGUGCACCGGACUGUCCGGUGAGCCAAUGGUCGGUCGGGCCAACGUUCGGCCGCGCAAUCUGCGCGGGACACGUGGCCGAGCCAACGGCUAGAAGGGGCACCAGACUGUCCGGUGUGCACCGGACAUGUCCGGUGCGCCAACGGCUCUCAGGCUGCCAACGGUCAACUACGCCAUUUUUGGAAAGAAAUUGGGCACCGGACAGUGUCCGGUGUGCACCGGACUAUCCGGUGCGCCACUCGAUAGAAGGCAAGAUCAGCCUUCCUAGAUUGCUCUCAAUGGCUCCUAGCUGCCUUGGGGCUAUAAAAGGGACCCCUAGGCGCAUGGAGGAGCACACCAAGCAUUCCUACAACAUUCCUAAGCACCAAGACAUCGAUUCCGCGCCUUUGAUUCUUUGCGAUAGCAAUUAGAGCUCUAGUUGAGUGGUGAACUCAUUGAGUUGUGUUGUGAGCUCUCUUUGCGACUUGUGUGCGUGGUGUUGCUGUGAUUUCUUGUCUUGAGUGCGUUGCUAAUCCCUACCUUGCUCCGUGCUUCUUUGUGAAUCUUAAGUGUAAGGGCGAGAGGCUCCAAGUUGUGGAGAUUCCUCGCAAACGGGAUUGAGUAAAGCAAGCAAAACAUCGUGGUAUUCAAGUGGGUCUUUGUACCGCUUGAGAGGGGUUGAUUGCAACCCUCGUCCGUUGGGACGCCACAACGUGGAGUAGGCAAGCGUUGGUCUUGGCGGAACCACGGGAUAACCACCGUGCCAUCUCUGUGAUUGAUCUCUUGUUGGUUAUUGUGUUUUGUUGAAGACUUCUCUCUAGCCACUUGGCGGUUAUUGUGCUAACACUUAACCAAGUUUUUGUGGCCUAAGUUUUAAUUGUUACAGGAUCACCUAUUCACCCCCCCUCUAGGUGCUCUCAAUUGGUAUCGGAGUCGUUCUCUUCACAAAGGGACUAAUCGCCCGAAGAGAUGGAUCCUAAGAGGAAGGGUAUCGUGAUCAACGAUAAAGAGAAGGAAUCUUUCGUCAACGAGCCGAAGGAUGACAAGCCUACCAACUCGGGCUCGGGCCAUAGACGGAAAGAUGAGAAGAAGAAGAAGACGAGGCGCAUCAAGGAGAUCGUCUACUACGACGACAGCGAUGAGUCUACUUCUUCCAAAAAGGACGACGACCACAACGACUACGAGAGAAGAAAACCGGUCAAUUCGAACUUUUCUUUUGAUUACUCUCGUAUUCCUCAAAGUACAAAUGCUCAUUUAUUAUCUAUUCCACUUGGUAAACCUCCUCAUUUUGAUGGAGAAGACUACGGAUUUUGGAGUCACAAAAUGCGUAGUCACUUGUUCUCUCUCCAUCCUAGUAUAUGGGAGAUUGUAGAGAGUGGAAUGCACUUUGAUAGUACGGAUAGUCCCAUGUUCAUUAAUGAGAAAAUUCAUAAGAAUGCACAAGCUACUACUGUUCUUCUAGCUUCAUUGUGCAGGGAUGAAUACCACAAAGUGAGCGGCUUGGAUAAUGCCAAGCAGAUCUGGGACACCCUCAAGAUUUCACAUGAGGGGAACGAUGUCACCUUACUCACCAAGAUGGAGUUGGUGGAGGGCGAGCUUGGACGAUUCGCGAUGAUAAGGGGCGAGGAGCCGACACAAACAUACAACCGGCUCAAGACCCUUAUCAACAAAAUAAGGAGCUACGGAAGCACGCGAUGGACGGACCACGACGUCGUCCGAUUGAUGCUAAGGUCCUUUACCAUUCUUGAUCCUCAUUUGGUGAAUAAUAUUCGUGAGAAUCCAAGGUACACCAAAAUGUCGCCCGAAGAAGUCCUUGGAAAAUUCGUAAGCGGGCGAAUGAUGAUCAAGGAGGCGAGGUACGUGGACGACGCAUUGAAUGGUCCAAUCAACGAGCCUCAACCCCUUGCUCUCAAGGCAACAAGGAGCAAGGAGGCGCUACCUAGCAAGGUGGCACAAAUUGAGGCGGCCAGACUUAAUGAUGAAGAAAUGGCCCUCAUCAUCAAGAGAUUCAAGACGGCGCUUAAGGGUCGCAAGGGACAACCAAGCAAGACCAAAGCCAAAGGGAAGCGCUCAUGCUUCAAAUGCGGUAAGAUUGGUCAUUUUAUUGCUAACUGUCCCGAUAAUGAAAGUGACCAGGAACACGGGAGCAAGAGGGAAAAGAAGAAAAAUUACAAGAAGGCCAAGGGCGAGGCACAUCUAGGAAAGGAGUGGGACUCGGAUUGCUCCUCCUCCGACUCUGACAAUGAAGGACUUGCCGCCACCGCCUUCAACAAGUCAUCCCUCUUCCCCAACGAGCGUCACACAUGCCUUAUGGCAAGAGAGAAGAAGGUAUGUACUCGAAACUCUACUUAUUCUUCUUCAAGUGAGGACGAAUCUAAUGAUGAGGAUGAAAUAGAUUAUUCAUGUUUAUUUAAGGGCCUAGAUAGAACCAAGGUAGAUAAAAUUAAUGAAUUGAUUGAUGCCUUGAAUGAUAAGAAUAGGCUUUUAGAAAAACAAGAGGACUUGUUGUAUGAAGAACAUGACAAAUUUGUAGAAGCACAAAAAUCUCAUGCCUUAGAAGUUAAGAGAAAUGAAAUGCUCUCUUGUGAAUUAUCUUCUUGCCAUGAGACAAUUUCUAGCUUAAGAAGCAUUAAUGAUGACUUGAAUGCUAAGUUGGAAAUAGCUAGUAAAUCAACAACUUGUGUAGAAAAUGUUGUUAUUUGCAAUAGAUGUAAAGAUUUUGAUAUUGAUGCUUGUUGUGAACACAUAGCUUCUAUUGCAAAGUUAAAUGAUGAAAUGGCUAGUCUUAAUGCCCAACUUAAGGCUAGCAAAAGUGACUUUGAUAAACUAAAAUUUGCUAGGGAUGCCUACACGAUUGGUAGACACCCCUCAAUUAAGGAUGGGCUUGGCUUCAAGAGGGAAGCCAAGAACUUAACAAGCCAUAAGGCUCCCAUCUCCGCCAAGGAGAAAGGGAAGGCCCCUAUGGCAGGUAGUACUAAAAAGAACCAUGCUUUUAUGUACAAUGAUAGAAGACGGUCUCAUAGGAGUUGUAAUGCUUUUGAUUCACAUGCCUAUGAUUCUUAUUCUAUGUUUGCUUCCAGUUCUUCCUAUAUGCAUGGUAGAGAUACGCCUAGGAAAAACAUUCAUCAUGUGCCUAGAAAGAAUAUUGUUCAUGUUCCUAGGAAAGUUAUGAAUGGACCCUCUACAAUUUAUCAUGCUUUAAAUGCUUCCUUUGCUAUUUGUAGAAAGGAUAGGAAGAUAGUUGCUAGGAAAUUAGGGGCAAAAUGCAAGGGUGAUAAAACUUGCAUUUGGGUCUCUAAGACAAUUUUGACUAACCUUGUAGGACCCAACAAGAGUUGGGUACCUAAGACCCAAGCCUAAAUUUGUCUUGCAGGUUUAUGCAUCCGGGGGUUCAAGCUGGAUUAUCGACAGCGGAUGCAUAAACCAUAUGACGGGGGAGAAGAAGAUGUUCACCUCCUACGUCAAGAAUAAGGAUUCCCAAGAUUCAAUCAUAUUCGGUGAUGGGAACCAAGGCAAGGUGAAAGGUUUAGGCAAGAUUGCUAUAUCAAAUGAGCACUCUAUCUCUAAUGUGUUUUUAGUUGAGUCUCUUGGAUAUAAUUUACUAUCUGUUAGUCAAUUAUGUAAUAUGGGAUAUAAUUCUCUAUUUACAAAUAUAGAUGUGUCUGUCUUUAGAAGAUGUGAUGGUUCACUAGCUUUUAAGGGUGUACUAGACGGCAAACUUUAUUUGGUUGAUUUUGCAAAAGAAGAGGCCGGUCUAGAUGCAUGCUUAAUGGCUAAGACUUGCAUGGGCUGGUUGUGGCAUCGCCGCUUAGCACAUGUGGGGAUGAAGAACCUCCACAAGCUUCUAAAGGGAGAACACGUGAUAGGUCUAACCAAUGUACAUUUCGAAAAAGAUAGACCUUGUGCAGCUUGUCAAGCAGGGAAACAGGUGGGAGGCUCUCAUCACACCAAAAAUGUGAUGACGACAUCAAGACCCUUGGAGAUGCUUCAUAUGGACCUCUUCGGACCCGUCGCCUAUCUGAGUAUAGGAGGAAGUAAGUAUGGUCUUGUUAUAGUUGAUGAUUUUUCCCGCUUCACUUGGGUAUUCUUUUUGCAGGAUAAAACUGAAACCCAAGGGACCCUCAAGCGCUUCCUCAGGAGAGCUCAAAAUGAGUUUGAGCUCAAGGUGAAGACGAUAAGGAGCGACAACGGGUCCGAGUUCAAGAACCUUCAAGUGGAGGAGUUCCUUGAGGAGGAGGGGAUCAAGCACGAGUUCUCCGCUCCCUACACACCUCAGCAAAAUGGUGUGGUAGAGAGGAAGAACAGGACGCUCAUUGAUAUGGCGAGGACUAUGCUUGGAGAGUUCAAGACCCCCGAGCGCUUUUGGUCGGAAGCUGUGAACACGGCUUGCCACGCCAUCAACAGGGUCUACCUUCACCGCCUCCUCAAGAAGACUUCAUAUGAGCUGCUGACUGGUAACAAACCCAAUGUGUCUUAUUUUCGUGUAUUUGGGAGCAAGUGUUAUAUUCUUGUGAAGAAAGGUAGAACCUCUAAAUUUGCUCCCAAAGCUGUAGAAGGGUUUUUAUUAGGUUAUGAUUCAAAUACAAAGGCGUAUAGGGUCUUCAACAAAUCAUCGGGUUUGGUUGAAGUCUCUAGCGACGUUGUAUUUGAUGAGACUAAUGGCUCUCCAAGAGAGCAAGUUGUUGAUCUUGAUGAUGUAGAUGAAGAAGACGUUCCAACGGCCGCGAUUCGCACCAUGGCGAUUGGAGAUGUACGGCCUCAGGAUCAAUUGGAGCAAGAUCAACCGUCUUCCUCAACUAUGGUGCAUCCCCCAACCUAAGAUGACGAACAGGUACCUCAAGUGGAGGCGCAUGAUCAAGGGGGAGCACAGGAUGUUCAAGUUGAAGAGGAAGAAGUACCUCAGGCACCUCCAACCCAAGUUCGAGCGACGAUCCAAAGGGAUCAUCCCGUCGACCAAAUUUUGGGUGAUAUUAGCAAGGGAGUAACUACUCGUUCGAGAUUAGUUAAUUUUUGUGAGCAUUACUCUUUUGUCUCUUCUAUUGAGCCUUUCAGGGUAGAAGAGGCCUUGCUAGACCCGGACUGGGUGUUGGCCAUGCAGGAGGAACUCAACAACUUCAAGCGCAAUGAAGUUUGGACACUGGUGCCUCGUCCCAAGCAAAAUGUUGUGGGAACCAAGUGGGUGUUCCGCAACAAACAGGACGAGCACGGGGUGGUGACGAGGAACAAGGCUCGACUUGUGGCAAAAGGUUAUGCCCAGGUCGCAGGUUUGGACUUUGAGGAGACGUUUGCUCCUGUGGCUAGGCUAGAGUCAAUUCGUAUUUUGCUAGCAUAUGCCGCUCACCAUUCUUUCAGGUUGUACCAAAUGGAUGUAAAGAGCGCUUUCCUCAACGGGCCAAUCAAGGAGGAGGUGUACGUGGAGCAACCCCCUGGCUUCGAGGAUGAACGGUACCCCGACUAUGUGUGUAAGCUCUCUAAGGCGCUCUAUGGACUUAAGCAAGUCCCAAGAGCAUGGUAUGAAUGCCUUAGAGACUUUUUAAUUGCUAAUGCUUUCAAGGUUGGGAAAGCCGAUCCAACUCUUUUUACUAAGACUUGCGAUGGUGAUCUCUUUGUGUGCCAAAUUUAUGUCGAUGACAUAAUAUUUGGUUCUACUAAUCAAAAGUCUUGUGAAGAGUUUAGCAGGGUGAUGACACAGAAAUUCGAAAUGUCGAUGAUGGGCGAGUUGAACUACUUCCUUGGGUUCCAAGUGAAGCAACUCAAGGACGGCACUUUCAUCUCCCAAACGAAGUACACGCAAGACUUGCUAAAGCGGUUUGGGAUGAAGGACGCCAAGCCCGCAAAGACUCCGAUGGGAACCGACGGACACACCGACCUCAACAAAGGAGGUAAGUCCGUUGAUCAAAAAGCAUACCGGUCUAUGAUAGGGUCUUUACUUUAUUUGUGCGCUAGUAGACCGGAUAUUAUGCUAAGCGUAUGCAUGUGUGCUAGAUUUCAAUCUGAUCCUAAGGAGUGUCACUUAGUAGCAGUGAAGCGAAUUCUUAGAUAUUUGGUUGCUACGCCUUGCUUCGGGAUCUGGUAUCCAAAGGGGUCUAACUUUGACUUGAUUGGAUAUUCAGAUUCUGACUAUGCUGGAUGUAAGGUCGAUAGGAAGAGCACAUCGGGGACGUGCCAAUUCUUAGGAAGGUCCCUGGUGUCAUGGAAUUCUAAGAAACAAACUUCCGUUGCCCUAUCCACCGCUGAGGCCGAGUAUGUUGCCGCAGGACAGUGUUGCGCGCAACUACUUUGGAUGAGGCAAACCCUCCGGGACUUUGGCUACAAUCUGAGCAAAGUCCCACUCCUAUGUGACAAUGAGAGUGCUAUCCGCAUAGCGGAAAAUCCUGUUGAGCACAGCCGCACAAAGCACAUUGACAUCCGGCAUCACUUUUUGAGAGACCACCAGCAAAAGGGAGAUAUCGAAGUGUUUCAUGUUAGCUCCGAGAACCAGCUAGCCGAUAUCUUCACUAAGCCUUUAGAUGAAAAGACCUUUUGCAGGCUGCGUAGUGAGCUCAAUAUCCUAGAUUCGCGGAACUUGGAUUGAUUUAUAGCAUACAUGUAUUUAUGCCUUUGAUCAUGUUUCUUAUGCAUUUUGUUGCUUACUAUGGUGCUCAAGUUGUAAAAUCAAUCUCCGGACCUCACAAGUCCUUGUGCAAGUGAUGCACAUAUUUAGGGGGAGUUGUGCUACAACUUGACCCUUUGAGACUAACUGUUUGCUUGAGUUUGCUUGAUUUAGUCUCAAAGGAGGUUUGAAAGGGAAAAGGUGGACUUGGACCAUGAAAGACUUCCACUGCACUCCGAUGAGAGGGUAACUUAUUCCAAGUUCAUCUCAUGUACUCUUAUUGCCUUUGUGUUCUUAUUUGAAGAUUUUGGUGAGGCAAUGGGGUUUACGGGCCAAAAUUGAUCCCGUUUUGGUGCUUGAUGCCAAAGGGGGAGAAAAUAAAGGCCAAAGCAAUAGAUGGAUCAGCUACCACUUGAGAAAUUUUGAAAAUAGUAGAUUAGAGCUUUUGGUGUGUCAAAACUCUUUUAUUGUCUCUUAUGUCAAAAGUUGGCCUCUUGUGGGGAGAAGUGUUGAUUAUGGGAAAAAGGGGGAGUUUUUGAAAUCCUUGAUCAAAUUUCUUUGGAAUACCUCUCUUUAUGUCUCUACAAGUGGAUUUGACUUAGAGAUAGGAAUUUGAGUUUGAUUUGCAAAAACAAACCAAGUGGUGGCAAAGUAUGAUCCAUAUAUGCCAAAUUUGAUUCAAAACAACUUUGAGUUUUCAUUUGCAUUAAUUUUGUACUUGUUCUACUUGCUUUAUGUUGUGUUGGCAUAAAUCACCAAAAAGGGGGAGAUUGAAAGGGAAAUGUGCCCUUGGGCCAUUUCUAAGUAUUUUGGUGAUUUAGUGUCCAACACAAGUGCCUAAGUGUAAAAAGGUGGACAAAGUACAAAUCAAGGAUAAAAGUAUGUUUCUCAGACUCAGUACAUUGUUUUAUGGACUAAUGUAUUGUGUCUAAGUGCUGGAAAUAGGAAAAAUCCAAUUGAAAAUAUCUUGGCUCGAGCAGCCAAGACUCUGCUAAGUCUGGGAGCACCGGACUGUCCGGUGGUGCACCGGACAGUGUCCGGUGCGCCAGGCUGGCUCGAGCGAAGUGGCCGCUCUCGGGAAUUCACCGGCGACGUACGGCUAUAAUUCACCGGACUGUCCGGUGUGCACCGGACUGUCCGGUGAGCCAACGGUCGGCCGGGCCAACGGUCGGCCGCGCAAUCUGCGCGGGACACGUGGCCGAGCCAACGGCUAGAAGGGGGCACCGGACUGUCCGGUGUGCACCGGACAUGUCCGGUGCGCCAACGGCUCUCAGGCUGCCAACGGUCGACUGCGCCAUUUUUGGAAAGAAAUCGGGCACCGGACAGUGUCCGGUGUGCACCGGACUGUCCGGUGUGCACCGGACUGUCCGGUGCGCCACUCGACAGAAGGCAAGAUCAGCCUUCCUAGAUUGCUCUCAACAGCUCCUAGCUGCCUUGGGGCUAUAAAAGGGACCCCUAGGCGCAUGGAGGAGCACACCAAGCAUUCCUACAACAUUCCUAAGCACCAAGACAUCGAUUUCGCGCCUUUGAUUCUUUGCGAUAGCAAUUAGAGCUCUAGUUGAGUGGUGAACUCAUUGAGUUGUGUUGUGAGCUCUCUUUGCGACUUGUGUGCGUGGUGUUGCUAUGAUUUCUUGUCUUGAGUGCGUUGCUAAUCCCUCCCUUGCUCCGUGCUUCUUUGUGAAUCUUAAGUGUAAGGGCGAGAGGCUCCAAGUUGUGGAGAUUCCUCGCAAACGGGAUUGAGUAAAGCAAGCAAAACACCGUGGUAUUCAAGUGGGUCUUUGGACCGCUUGAGAGGGGUUGAUUGCAACCCUCGUCCGUUGGGACGCCACAACGUGGAGUAGACAAGCGUUGGUCUUGGCCGAACCACGGGAUAACCACCGUGCCAUCUCUGUGAUUGAUCUCUUGUUGGUUAUUGUGUUUUGUUGAAGACUUCUCUCUAGCCACUUGGCGGUUAUUGCGCUAACACUUAACCAAGUUUUUGUGGCCUAAGUUUUAAUUGUUACAGGAUCAUCUAUUCACCCCCCCUCUAGGUGCUCUCACCUACGACGCACUCAUGACAUACAAGUCCAUCGGACCGCGGUGCACUCAUGACCUAAUGAGACUAGGCUUGAGUGCGCAGGCCAUCUACAGGGCCCGCAAUACGACGAGCAACGCCAAGAUCCAGGCUACGGAGGCCAAGGGUCGAUGUGGUGUAGAGGCAGUAAUGAUGGCGCCAAUGCUCCACACCGCCACACCGUUCGUCAUAAUGUAGCACGAGUAGAGACGGUUGGGUGACCAAGACGCCUACGGACAACAUGACUUCACCGGGGUAAAACACUCGGUUUUAACACAACAUAGUAGCUCCUUCUCGAGGAAGCUACUGGCGGCCGCCCCACCUUGCCAAUAUAAGGAGGUCGAUCACGAGACAGAAGAAGGAACACCAGAAGAGGAAAGACUAACAGAGGAAACACACGCUCGAUGAGACCAGAAGACCCGGAGGCUGGAGCUAAGGCUUAGUUUAGGACUCUAGUCCCGUUGUCUUUAGGUCCACCCACACAUAAGAGACUUGGGAGCUCUUCUUUCCUCUCUCCCACGCUUCUAACCCCUACUACGAGCAUUGAGCAACAAAGGUGCCAGUAGCGCGAGCCAUCGAAGACUGGAUGUAGGGACGUUCUGCCCAAACCAGUAUAAACCUUGUGCCCAACGAGCACCCCAUCCGGAACCCAGAACACCCACAUGCAAAUUUACUUGUCAGAGAGGAGGUUCGAAACACCGAUAGUUUGUAAAUGUGAGAAAUGAACAAAAAAUAAGGUUUUUUGUCCCUGUUGAAAACUGUUAUGUCCGACGGCCUUUAAUAGCCGUCAGACAUUAAACAGGUGACACCCGACGGCCUCCAUGCAAACUGUUGCACGGAGGACGUCAGAACUAAAGGAGUGGGGCCCACUAGCAACCAUUAUGGCUGUUAACAGUUACAAUUGCCGAGGGCCCUUUCCGACCAUAGUACAUAAGCCUAUUUCCGACCUAUUAAGGCCGAGAGCCAAAAUCGUCAGAUAUAAACCGAAAGUCGUCGGAAAUAAGCUAUUUUCGAUGGUAUAGGCCUUAUUUCUGUUAGUUUUAGCCCUCAGAAUUUUUCUGUUUUGCCGUUGUGAUGUGAUGGAAUUGGACUAACUAGAUCUAGAGGCUGGACCUAAUUAGUUGAUCAAUUGUUUUCGUGAACUAUACGACAAGAAGAAGACAUGGUACUUACUAAAGCAAAUACAUAUGUAAGCAAUUCCGCAGAAGCAAAGAAAACAUGCUAGCUAGCGAGCACAGUCGUGCAUGUAAAACGUAAAAUGAAGCAUUAUUUGACCUAAUUGUACAUAUAGGCAUUUGCAAAAAUAAGAUGGGGGCCUUGAUUUGUGUGGUGGUUGCAGCUCUUACGUGGGCAAUGUAUAUGGCGACCGUAAUGAGUUUGUUUUGUUUUUAACAAAACACGCAAUCUGCACUUUUUUAGACAUUAUUAUUGUUCCUGCACAGCAGGAGAACAUGAGAGAGAAGUGCAGGAGCAAUAAUAGACUUUCCUCUCUAAUUUAUUUCUUCCGUUUGUAUACUUGGUUCCAUCAUACUACUUGUGUUGAACCGUUGAGCUGAAAAUGUUGAAAGAAACGGCCCCGUGCUCGUGCGUGUCCUGAAAACAGGUAGGAACGACGGCCCGUGAAACCGUGGAUUCUGCCUCAGAACAUGUAGACAGACAACACAGUAGCUAGGAUGAUCAGGUUUGAUUUGGACGGCAAGGGCUCUAGUAGGACGGUUGGAGUAGGCGGCUACAUCGGUCGUGGGCCGGCCGGCCGGCGAUGAUGAAUGACAGAUUGUGCUCCGUGUUUCCGGCCGACCUCUGACCUGACCGGACCCCAACAACAGCAAGGAUUAAUUCUUUUGGUUGGAACUGGAACACUUCUUGGGUGGGACAUGUGAGUCUUGGAACGGUAGAACGUGUGAGCAAAGUAAAAAGAGCCAGAAGAAUAGUGAAAUGAGUUUUCAUGUCUUUUUAUUGAUCAUCGCUAUAUAUAUAUAUAUAUAUAUAUAUAUAUAUAUAUAUAUAUAUAUAUAUAUAUAUAUAUAUAUAUAUAUAUAUAUAUAUCUGAACCUCCUUGGAUGGAUUUAUUUAUCCUCGACCCUCCUCCUUUUCGUUAUAACUUGCGAUAUUAGAUACGUACAAGGGAGAACAAUUUCUAUGUACAAUAAUCAUACACUGACGAAAUAUUUUCUUUAAAACAAGGAAACCGGAAUGACGCUCUUCCAGCUAAGCCCAGCUCAAAAAAGAGCUUAGACUUGCUGUAAUCCUUGUUUGGGCCAUAUCUCUGGCCCGUUCAUUUGGUGCACGUGGCCCUCGAUUUAAACUGGAUCCUGGGUCACGGCCCAUCUAAAUUAAUAACCAUCCCUCUUAUUAGGCUAUUCCCAGUGGUGAUUUUAAUUGAGUUUCAUCUUUAUUUAAUCUUUCACCACAUCAGCAAAGGAUUUAAUAGGGAGAGAGACAAAGUGAGUUUUAUUUCGACGAAACUCACGAUGCACAAUUUUAUAGACAAAAAUUUAUGUGACGUUCUUGAAAAUAGUGUAACGAAACUCUGCGUAGUGAAUAAUCUUAUCAAUUCAAGAGUUUCUUUGAAUCUUAUUUUAAACUUUUGUUUGUUUGAAAUCACAUCUUCUUUAAUACCCCAAUAAAACCUUUAAUACCCCAAUAAAACCUUGUUCGAUUAUUUCCGUAUCAUUUGAAUCAUGAGGAAUCAAUGCAAACCUUGUUCAUUUGGUGCACGUCGGCACGCACACGGGUAAACGUCCCUUUCUUUCUCUCCUAUCGUCUGGUACUCACUUGCAAUGUGCUUUCUUUGCUAUCUUGCUCGUGUGGUAGAUGGGAUUUCCUCCUCUAAGUGACCAUCGCACAGGAGACCAAGUUUUGGACGGACAAGAAGAGGUUCGAGACAGAUGCCAUAUUCUGAUCCUCCCUCAAUAUCCGCAAGGAUCUCGAUGCCCCAAUCCUCUCCAGGUCCUUUGCUUUCUCUUUGCAUUUCUUACAGGAAAAAUAAUCCUGCUUAUACAUCAAUUCGUUCCAACUAGACAUGUGCAUGGGUUGGUUAAAGCGGAUAUGGAUGGGUUCUGUGAGUUAGUUUGUUGGGGCUAAUUAAUUGGUUCUCGGUGCAAGUUCGGUGGGUUAGAUGAGUCAACAACGUGUUUGCUUCAUGGGGUGGAUUGAGUUGUAUUAGAUGGGUCACAUGGGUUGAGUUUACUUCAUCAUCUGGCCACCAUUGAUAAACAUACAUGCCACUAAGAUUUCUACAUGAACAUUUAUGUAAGUAAUUUUAAUUUUACUCCUUUUCAUGGCUGAAAUGAUUUCUGCCUGGACACUACAUGCUAUGCCAGGAUUGUUGUUUGCAUAGUCACACUUUGAUUUUAUUGUUUGUUUAUACAACAUGGCAGGAAAUCCAAUGAUUUGUGGUAAUUCUGGAGAUAACUACUCUUCUAUGUCACUUGACCCACUCUCUUACCCACAAGAUGAUCUGAAAAGUGAGAUCUCUUUCCAUUGUUCAAAUUUGAGAAACAGAAGAAAAUAACUGUCUUUUCUUCUAGGUGGCACUCACAUAUGUCUCCUUUUUCCUCAGCUCAGCCACAACAAGGCAUUGCAAAGAGCCAUCAUAUAGCUACAAUAUGUGGAGUAAUUUUUGGUUUAGUAGCUUUUUUGCUUAUGUAGUUGGUACACUUCUUUCGUGGCAUCAUAGCCAAAAUCAGCAUAUCUUUUUUGGUGUAAAUGGUAAUAUUCUUUUUACUCUGUUGUUGACUGAUCAUGAUAUCAACCACCUAGAUCUAGACGUGUUGCAUUAGUUACCUUAGUUGCAUGAGCCGCUAACAUUUUAAGAUCUUAGAGCUUUUUUGCUGAUGUAGUUAGUUAGUACACUUCUUUCGUUGCAUCAUAUAGGCAAAAUCAGUAUACAUUUUUUUGGUGUAAAUGGUAAUAUUCUUUUUAUCUGUUGUUGUGUGAUCAUGAUAACAACCACCUACAUCUUGACGUGUUGCAUUAGUUACCUUAGUUGCAUGAGCCGCUAACAUUUUAAGAUCUUAGAGCUUUUGCCUUCUGGUCAGUCCACAGUAAAAUUGAAUGAAUCGAAAAUUAAAACAUCAGAUCCUUCAGCACCGGCCUUCCAUUUUUCAACUAAUAGAAACUCCCAUUUUUCAACUAAUAGGAACUCUGAAUGUAUAUUGGCAUCCAUUCAUCCCCUUGCGGCCAUUUGAUCUAUCCUCUAUCUGUGGACCUUGCUGAUAGUUAUGUUGUCCAAAAAACCCCCAUGAUUUGGUGACCUUGCUGUGCAUACCCCAGACUUGUUUGCAUUGUUAGCUAGCCAUAGAAAUUCAAUAGGAGAUCGAGCACGGAGUAGCGACGAGAUAGCAAAAAUAACAACUUUACCUUUGUACAUCUAUAUGCUGUCAUGUGGGGCCGCACCUACAGCAGGCGCAGGCGCGCCCGUGACGUGCGCAAGGCAACCGAGAAUAAGAUUGAGAUGAGAGAAUUGUGGAGAGUUGGUUAGCAGCAGAUAAGUCCAAGAAAGUAGAAUUACUUGAGAGUUUAUAGGAGAAGUUGGUUAGCCCUAGGGCUAUUUACAAGCCGCAUGACAGCAGGGAAUAAAGCAAGCAAUUUGUUAUCUAUCCAAUCUCCUCUCUCCAGUUCUAGCAAGCCUGCGGCAGGGUGCUCACCUUGCUGGAGAAGACGAACCGAGACUACAAUCUCCGUAGUCGAGGGCCAGCUACCCUAGGGUCCGACGCCCUUGACAUAUGCCUGGCAGCAAAAGGCCAAGUAUUGUCAAUACAUAUGCACACACUAAGCAUAACCUUCCUCAGAGGACCAACCAUGGAAUAUAUUGUCAAUCCAACAACAUUUAUAGCUUGGUUAUUAGUUUACAAAAGAACUAGCUAUGACUUUGGUAAGGUAGGUCCUGUAGGUGGUUCAAAUCCAAAAAUGCAUAUAGGAGUCAAUAACUUUGAUAAGGUAGAAUAUCUUUUGCAUAUAGGUAGGUCCUGUAGGUGAUUCGAAUUAAAUCCAGUCCCUUGGAUCUAGAAAGGGCAACCUAGAUUAGAGCGAGCAUAUAUCCCUUCAAAUGGUUAACCAGAGACGUGGAUCAAAGAUCCAAUGGCUCAGACGCGGAACGCGUUAUAACAGCCGCACGGUUUUGUAAAAGAGUUCCUAGGAAACCUAUGAAUCUUCCUGAAGUCCAAUGUUAUGUUAAAAUAAUUACAAACAUGUCCUAGCAUUUUUGGUUUAGCCCCUGAGCUCUUGAAAAAUCAUACCCACCAUCUAGGGAGGUCAAAUUUACACUUGAGCCCUCAUCUUUACUGUUAUAGUUACACAUAGGUACCUGGACUUUACAAACAGACCCCUGAAUUCAUGUUUUCAUAUAAAAAUAAUCCAAAUUCUUGAUUAAUCAUAACUUCUACGUUUUAACUCUGAUUUUAGUGGUUCAUGAAUCUACGGAUUCGUUUCGACGCGUAAAAUAAUCUUAUGCAGUUUGUUUCUCUGUUUGGUGUGAUGUUAUUUUUAUUUUGUUUGUUUGUAUUGCUAUGAAUAGACGAUCAAGUGGACGAGGAACCUAAAGCCCAACAGUUUGAGGGAUCUGAGUAAGAGCUCACAUUAGAAGGCAUGUGUCUUCUUGAUCACAUUGUUUUGACCUAAUAACAUUUACUGUUAUAUUCUCAUAUAUGCAUGAACAUUUAUGUUAAAUUGGGGGGCCUAAUAAGUUACAUAGUUUGUUUUUCCUCAUACCUUGUUUAUAACUGGUUCACUUAUUAUUGGGUACAUUUGGUACUGCUAUACUUAGUUAUGGGAUAAUGUUACUUGUGAAGCAUUGAUCAUGAUUUUUUAUUUUAGUUGAGUUAUUUAUUAUGCAUGAUAAGAUCUUUAAUUGAAACAUGGAGAACCACCUGAGAAAUAGUGCAACCACAAGGACUAUUAUGGUUCUAGUCUUGGCUAAUUAAUUAGGGAAACUAUUAUGUGAGAUCUUACUCGGUUAGGGGCAAACGGUCCUGACACACUGUUAGAUGCAUCUGGAUUUAUCUUUAAAUCCGGAUGUGACAACAACUCAUAGCCAUGAAUCAAACGACUUUCAACUUUUUUUUUUCUUAAAACAACUUUUUCACAACUUGAUAGGCGUGGAGCUUUUUAUGCUCACAAAGAAAUUGAGAGAGACGAGGCUAAAAAAGUACCUUUUUCACAUCUCUCUCGAUUCUCUCUCAGCUAUAUGUAUGAAACUGUUUUGCCAAAUAUUUUUCUAAAAAAUUGCCUUUAGAAAGCUACUCAUAAAGUUAUUUUCUAAAAAAAACUUCAAUAGUAAAGUUAAGCUGUGCCAAAUGGGGGUCUAAUAAUCAAUCAAUUAUAUUACCAAUCUCUCCUUACUUUAGAAUGGGGAUAUAUGUAUGUUAUAAUUAAUACACUCCGAGCAACUUUAUUAUUAUAUGUAUUAUUACAAGGCACAAUGGCACAUACAUACAGUGAUACAGCUGCAAUAUACAUGAACACCCUUUGUCUCGCUCCUGCUUUAUCUAUGCAACUGCUGGCAUGCAUGCAAAAGACGCCUCGGGAGAUAAGACCCCUGUUAUUCUGCUAGUACGUAUGCAUGCAUGUGCACGAUCGAUGGGCGCGAUGGUCAUAUCAUCCGUUGGUUCAGUAGUAGGGCUGGAUCUUCCAGCGCUGGUUGUCGCCCUCGCACCACUUCCAGAGCACGACGUCGGUGCCGUCACGGACGCCGCCGUGCCACUUGUCGCCGUGGAGGGCGUCGAAGUUGAGGUAGAUGUUGUUGACCAUGCGGACGCAGCGGAAGCCGUUGCCGACGUCGCGGCUCUCCGUCCACAGCACCGACUCGUCCAAAAAGUCCGGGUUGUAGGGCACCAGGCGCACCGGGUGGGACUGCCCCAGCGAGUGCUUGAUGGCCUCCCCGGUCGCCUUGUUCACCAGCGCGAACGCCGGGUAACCUUCCUCGUCCUUGAUGCUCGUGCUCCACCGCAUGUCCUUGAUCCAGUGCUGGUACUCGUCCUUGGGGUUCGCCGGCGCCAGCACCACCUUCCCGUCGCGGACGCUCAUGGCGUAGUUGGGGUUGGCGCGGCAGUACACCUUCACGGUCGGCUGCGGCGGCAGCGCCCGCCCGCACCCGUUGCCCUCGAUGUUCACCUGCGACAUCCCGUACGGGACCGCCGGAGCGUACCCCGGCGUCGCGAUGCCACCGCCGCCGUAGUACCCGCCGCUGUAGCGCUGAUCGCGGCCGCCGUAGUAUCCGCCGUCCAUGACGAUGGUGCCUUUGUUCGCCGCCUGCUUUUCAACCUCACUCACCUCGAUCAACUACUCCUCUGGCGACUGAUGAGCGAUCGAGAGGCCCUGACGCAGACAAUGCAACGGCCGGGCCGGCAGAUUUAUAGGGCGCUGCCGGUUGCUCCCGGCGUCCCCAGCUGCCCCACUGGUGGUGCAUGUACGUGGUGGCGUUAGCAUCACGCUGCGCGAGGUGGUGGGUAGGCAUCGCAUCGUCAGUGGAUGGAUGGUUGUGCGCGCAUGGGCAGGAAGGACGAUGCCAUGCGAAACUAGCCGAGGGAAAAAGCGAUUCGGUUUCUAGUCGUUCUUGGAAGAAGAAUCCUUAGCAUCUCCAGCAGUAGGAGAAAAAACCAACACAAAGUCUAGUUAUUGGUUAAGAUUAAUCGAUAGCUUGGAAACUUAAAUUCUCGUUAGGAUUAAAGGAGAUUGAGAGAAAAAUUAGUUUAUUUAUUCCCUAAUUCACUUCGAUCCUGGAGAGGAUUCGAGUUUUCAAACUAGCCACAAAAGAGUGUUUUGAAAUUUCAAAGUUGUUCGUUCUCUCCAGCAAAACGAGAAAAUUCCAUGCCCAAUGAGAAAUUAAGGAGCUGUUAUGUCUGAUUUUAAAGGUUCGUUUAGGCGGUGAACAAUAACAAUUAGAUCUUAAAACCAACCAUCCUGAAAACCAGCAUUAUACAUUACCUUUUCUUUCUCUUAACUCAUCUCUCAAUUAUUUAUUUUAGGCAUAUGUAGUGUAGAAAAUGUGAAGAAAAAAACGGUUAAUUGGGGAGGAGAGUUCUCCCCUUUAUUUGAGUGGCUGAGAAAAACAAUCUCAUUAAAGGUUUAGGGGCAUGAAGCUACAAAAUCUAUAUCUCUAUCAUCUAUUAAGAUGAUAGUGUGAUCACAGGUGUAACCAUGCUUCCUUCUGACGCCUAUAGAAAAAUAGUCCAAAAUUAUUACACGGAGAGGGGGAUGAAACCCGUGCGCCUUGGUAAAGGCAGCAGACACUGGCAAUGCUCUGCUACCCACUUAAGCCCAAUCAAGUUUGUGUCUAAUAGUCAAUAGGUGUUAUAAAUAUGUGUAGGCUGAGUUUUCAAAAUAAUAAAAAAUAAUAAUGUCAAGCCAGACUGGCACUACGGGUCGAGACAGCGGCCCAAGCAUGGCACGCCUCUCGUGCCCCUUAUUUUAAUAAUGUCAGGUUGGGCCACGACACUAUUAAAUGGUUCGUGCUUUAGCCCGGUGUUGGUGACUUGUUCUCAAAUGCUAUGAAUUAAGAACAAGGCAACAUAAAAUGUUAAAUAUUAAUGCCCUUCGUCUGCUGAAGCAUUAUCUCCCCAAGGAUUUAAUGAACUUCGGACGAAGGCCAUGAGCAAAAUAUCACGAAGGUCACACCUUCGUGAUCAGACUUAUAAAACAAUGUAAAAUAAAAUAUAAAACAUUAGAGAAAGAUGUACCAAAAACAGAUAACAUUAUUCACAUAUUUUAUUAUAUGGACCUAAAUAUUAAAACAUGAUAUUUAGGUACAUUUAUACCUUCGUCUUGGCAGAAAGCAAUAAUUUCAACGUAAUGUGCCAGCGAUUACAAGAUUGCGUGAACAGUACAUGGGUACUGUUCACCUAUUUAUAGGCACAGGGCGCAUCCUGUGUAAAAUUACAUUUAUGCUAUUUACAAUCGAUUACAAUAAUGACACAAAACACCAUGGGUCUUUAAGUCAUUUCAUCUUUAAGUCGGUUCACCCCUUCGUCUUGAGAUCUGUCAUUGUGCCGAAGCUUAUAGGUGAUAGCUUCGUCGCUACUCCUGAUAGGAUCUGCCGAAGGUGUUCUCUUUCUUUAGGAUCUUCGGCUACGGAGCAUACCCCCAACACCCGGUCCAAUAGGUGCGACCCAUUUGGCUAUCUAUAUCGCGCCCUCCCUCCACUCCAUCGUCAGUCGCAAGACCAUCCCAUGUUCCACGCACCGCUGCACAACCCGCGCUCCUCGCCUCUUUCGCGUCGCCGCCAAACGCCCACCAUCCUCGUCUCCCUCCACUCCGGCCCCUUCCUGCGCCUGCCCCCACAUGUUGCCCCUGCCUUCCCGGCCCCAUGUCCUAUCGCGAUAGACCCCCCUUGGUCCCCUCCAUCACCUUCGCCCAUCGCCUCCUCCUCAACGCUCGCGCCUCCUGCAAGGAUCUCUAGGGGCUCAUGGCCAACGUCGAGACACUCGAGACUCCAUCCAGGGCCAUGACAGGUUGUCUUAUCCAUACGCGCGCUACUGCCACGAGGUGGAUGAGGAGCUCAUGCGCAACAUGAUCUAGGUCAACGUCGAGGGUGUAAUGCGGGUCACGCACGCUGUGCUGCCAGACAUGGUCGAGACUCAAAAGGAAGUGCGAUGCCAUUGUCAACAUCGACUUCCGUGCCAUCUCUGACGUGCCUUCCUAUUUGCUCUAUUUUGUCUACGCCGCCACCAAAGCAACAAUACUAAUAAGAGUUUUUCUCGCAUCUAUCUAGCUAAAUGGAUAAGGGUUUGUUCGUUUGAGCUAGAAUUCACCCUAGAAUUGUUCCAGUUGAUCAAACUCUAUAUAAUUUAGACAAAUAAUCUAGCUAGAAAUAGUUACGGGUGACCAUUGCUUCAGAACCGAACAUGCCCUAAAGAUAUAUGUAGGCAUACCAUAAAAUCAAAAAAGCUAUAGACAUUCCAUAACGGCUACGCAUUUUAAGGACAUGAAACACAGGUGCCCAAACAAUAUAGAACAACAAUGCACAAUUUCAUUAUUAUGGAUCCACUUCGCAAGUAAAUUAGAAGAAUCCACGCAUCAUAUUUGGAUAAAAAUUCCUUAAGUUCAUCAUCUGUGCAUAUGUCCCAAAUUUGCAAUAAAGCUAGUAAAGCAAGAUGAUAUAUCGCUUGAAGACUUGUCUCGUCCAUCCUACACCAAACAUACCAUACUAUCAAGGUUUAUACAUGUCGAGCAAGAUUUAAAUAAGAAACAUCGGCUAACUAAUCUUUUUGAAUUUCAAUAUAUCUUAUCAUAACAUGUUCACUCCAUAGCAACGCACAGGUGUUUAUCUAAUAGUAAUAAUAAUCCAAAAAACACUACAAUAUAGAGGGUACUCGAGACGAUGUAUAUUAUUAUUACAUAAGGGAUGUUUGGGAUGGCUCUAAAUUCCAGCUCCAGUGUGGAGUUGUAGUUUAUAAUGUGAAUUUAAAUAGUUUUAAAAACAUUUUAAUAUAAAUAAUAAUAAAAAUUAAUUAUUAUCUAAAUGUCUUAUAAAUGUUUAUAACUUCAGCUCCAUGAUUUUUUUGGAGCACCUAAUGAUCCGCUCCACUAACUCCAUUAAAUUUUCUAAAGCUAGAGCUGUCCCAAACAUGGUCGUAGUAAUAGUGUUGGCUCUGAUUCAGGGCUAGACAUUGAGGGUGUACCGCUUGGUGGUGCCCUCUACGACGACGCGACGGUCCACGACCUCGCUGCAGGAGCGGCUCCUUCCCUGCGUCGGUCCAGAUGGCCUGCGAUGGCACAUGGUUGUCUUCCUCUAGGGUUGGCAGGCCACCCGAGGUGUCUCUAGACGACCUAGAGUCGUCUACAGAUUAAGAAAUCUAGUCGAGGAAAAGUAUCUUGAAUGAACUGGCUCUUGCUCCCUGGAAGGGGUAGGAUCCUAGGGUCGUCUUGGGGUCGACAUGCCACUCAAGACAGAUUUAGACGACGUAGAGUCUAAUAGGGGUUGAGGUGGAUAUGUGGAAAGCUACAACUAGAACUACAGUACAUCAACUUUUAGGGCAGGAAUGAUAAACAAAGUAAUAGAUUGGUUCGAUUGGAAUGUUGAAAGGGAAUUAGGCUUACACCUAGUCCCUAAUUAUUUUUGGUGGUUGAAUUGCCCAACACAAAUUUAUUGGCCUAACUAGUUUGCCCAAGUGUAUAGAUUAUACAGGUAUAAAAGGUUCACUCUCAGCCAAUAAAAAGACCAAGUUUUGGAUUCAACAAAGGAGCAAAGUGGCAACCGAAGGCCCUCUGGUCUGGGAGCACCGGACUGUCCGGUGUACACCGGACAGUGUCCGGUGCACCACCGGACAGUGUCCGGUGCACCAGAGGACUCCAACGCAAACUCGCCACCUUCGGGAAUUUCCAGAGGCGACUCCGCUAUAAUUCACCGGACUGUCCGGUGUACACCGGACAGUGUCCGGUGCGCCAAGUAGGAGCGGCCUCAGGAACUCGCCAGCUUCGGGAAACGCCAACGGCUAGUCCGCUAAAAUUCACCGGACUGUCCGGUGUGCACCGGACUGUCCGGUGCGACUCCGGAGCAACGGCUAUCUCCGCGCCAACGGCUCUCUGCCGCGCAUUAAAUGCGCGCACAGCGCGCGCAGAAGUCAAGCGCGCCCAUACUGGCACACCGGACAAGGAACAGUGCAUGUCCGGUGUGCACCGGACACCCAGGCGGGCCCACAAGUCAGAAGCUCCAACGGUCAGAAUCCAACGGCAGUGAUGACGUGGCAGGGGGCACCGGACUGUCCGGUGUGCACCGGACUGUCCGGUGCGCCAUCGAACAGACAGUCUUCCAACGGCCACAUUUGGUGGUUGGGGCUAUAAAUACCCUAACCACCCCACCAUUCAUGGCAUCCAAGUUUUCCACUUCCCAACUACUACAAGAGCUCUAGCAUUCAAUUCUAGACACACCAAAAGAGAUCAAAUCCUCUCCAAUUCCACAAAAGGCUUUAGCGAUUAGAGAGAGAGAUUUGCCGUGUUACUUUUGGGCUCUUGCGCUUGGAUUGCUUCUUUUCUUUCUCACUUGUUCUUAUGAUCAAAGUUCCAUUGUAAUCAAGGCAAGAGGCACCAAUUGUGUGGUGGCCCUUGCGGGGAAGUUUUGUUCCCGGCUUUGAUUUGAGAAGAGAAGCUCACUCGGUCCGAGGGACCGUUUGAGAGAGGGAAGGGUUGAAAGAGACCCGGCCUUUGUGGCCUCCUCAACGGGGAGUAGGUUUGCGAGAACCGAACCUCGGUAAAACAAAUCCGCGUGUCACACUCUUCAUUUGCUUGAGAUUUGUUUUGCGCCCUCUCUCGCGGACUCAUUUAUAUUUCUAACGCUAACCCGGCUUGUAGUUGUGUCUAUAUUUGUAAAUUUUAGUUUCGCCCUAUUCACCCCCCCUCUAGGCGACUAUCAAUUGGUAUCAAAGCCCGGUGCUUCAUUAGAGCCUAACCGCUCGAAGUGAUGUCGGGAGAUCACGCCAAGAAGGAGAUGGAGACCGGCGAAAAGCCCACUACAAGCAACGGGAGCACUUCAUCGGAAGAGUCCCGCACCAAACGGAGGGAGAAGAAAAAGAGCUCCUCCAACAAAGGGAAGGAGAAGAAAUCUUCUUCUCACCACAAAGAGAAGAAGGAAAAAUCUUCUUCCCACAAGCCGCAUCGGAGUGGGGACAAACAAAAGAGGAUGAGGAAAGUGGUCUACUACGAGACCGACACUUCAUCAACAUCAACCUCCGGCUCCGACGCGCCCUCCGUAACUUCUAAACGCCAAGAGCGUAAGAAGUUUAGUAAGAUCCCCCUACACUACCCUCGCAUUUCUAAACAUGCACCUUUACUUUCCGUCCCAUUAGGCAAACCACCAACUUUUGAUGGUGAAGAUUAUGCUAGGUGGAGUGAUUUAAUGCGAUUUCAUCUAACCUCACUCCACAAAAGUAUAUAGGAUGUUGUUGAGUUUGGUGCACAGGUACCAUCGGUAGGGGACAAAAAUUAUGAUGAGGAUGAGGUGGCCCAAAUCGAGCACUUCAAUUCUCAAGCGACAACGAUACUCCUCGCCUCUUUAAGUAGAGAGGAGUAUAACAAAGUACAAGGGUUGAAAAGCGCCAAGGAGGUUUGGGAUGUGCUCAAAACCGCGCACGAGGGAGAUGAGCUCACCAAGAUCACCAAGAGGGAAACGAUCGAGGGGGAGCUCGGUCGGUUCCGGCUUCGCAAAGGGGAGGAGCCACAACACAUGUACAACCGGCUCAAGACCUUGGUGAACCAAGUGCGCAACCUCGGGAGCAUAAAGUGGGACGACCACGAGGUGGUUAAGGUUAUUCUAAGAUCUCUUAUUUUCCUUAACCCCACUCAAGUUCAAUUAAUUCGUGGUAAUCCUAGAUAUACUAAAAUGACCCCCGAGGAAGUUAUCGGGCACUUUGUAAGUUUUGAGUGCAUGAUCGAAGGCUCGAGAAAGAUCAACGAGCUUGACGAACCCACCACAUCCGAAGCUCAACCCGUCGCAUUCAAGGCAACGGAAGAAAAGAAGGAGGAGGCUACACCAAGUCGACAACCAAUAGACGCCUCCAAGCUCGACAAUGAGGAAAUGGCGCUCGUCAUCAAGAGCUUCCGCCAAAUCCUCAAACAAAGGAGGGGGAAAGACUACAAGUCCCGCUCCAAGAAGGUUUGCUACAAAUGUGGUAAGCCCAGUCAUUUUAUUGCUAAAUGUCCCAUAUCUAGUGACAGUGACCGAGGCGACGACAAGAAGGGGAGAAGAAAGGAGAAGAAGAGGUACUACAAGAAGAAGGGCGGCGAUGCCCAUGUUUGUCGGGAGUGGGAUUCCGACGAAAGCUCAAGCGACUCCUCCGACGACGAGGACGCCGCCAACAUCGCCGUCACCAAGGGACUCCUCUUCCCCAACGUCGGCCACAAGUGCCUCAUGGCAAAGGACGGCAAAAGGAAGAAGGUAAAAUCAAGAUCCUCCACUAAAUAUGAAACCUCUAGUGAUGAAAAUGCUAGUGAUGAGGAGGAUAACUUGCGUACCCUUUUUGCCAAUCUUAACAUGGAACAAAAGGAAAAAUUAAAUGAAUUAAUUAGUGCUAUUCAUGAAAAGGAUGACCUUUUGGAUUCCCAAGAGGAUUGUCUUAUUAAGGAAAACAAGAAACAUGUUAAGGUUAAAAAUGCUUACGCCCUAGAAGUAGAAAAAUGUCAAAAACUAUCUAGUGAGCUAAGCACUUGCCAUGAGAUGAUUGACAACCUUAGACAUGAAAAUGCUAGUUUAAAUGCUAAGGUUGAUUCACAUGUUUGUAAUGUUUCAAUUCCCAAUCCUAGAGAUAAUAAUGAUGAUUUGCUUGCUAGGAUUGAAGAAUUGAACAUUUCUCUUGCUAGCCUUAGAAUUGAGAAUGAAAAAUUGCUUGCUAAGGCUAAAGAUUUUGAUGUUUGCAAUACUACCAUUUCCGACCUUAGAACUAAGAAUGAUAUCUUGCAUGCUAAGGUUGUAGAAUUAAAAUCUUGCAAACCCUCUACAUCUACCAUUGAGCAUGUUUCCAUUUGUACUAGAUGUAGAGAUGUUGAUAUUAAUGCUAUUCAUGAUCACAUGGCUUUAAUUAAACAACAAAAUGAUCAUAUAGCAAUAUUAGAUGCUAAAAUUGCCGAGCAUAACUUAGAGAAUGAAAAAUUUAAAUUUGCUAGAAGUAUGCUCUAUAAUGGGAGACGCCCUGGCAUCAAGGAUGGCAUUGGAUUCCAAAGGGGAGACAAUGUCAAACUUAGUGCCCCUCCAAAAAGAUUGUCCAACUUUGUUAAGGGCAAGGCUCCCAUGCCUCAGGAUAACGAGGGUUACAUUUUAUACCCUGCCGGUUAUCCUGAGAGCAAAAUUAGGAGAAUUCACUCUAGGAAGUCUCACUCUGGCCCAAAUCAUGCUUUUAUGUAUAAGGGUGAGACAUCUAGUUCUAGGCAACCAACCCGUGCUAAGUUGCCUAAGAAGACUCCUAGUGCAUCAAAUGAACAUAGUCUUUCAUUUAAAACCUUUGAUGCAUCUUAUGUGUUAACUAACAAAUCCGGCAAGGUAGUUGCCAAAUAUGUUGGGGGCAAGCACAAGGGGUCAAAGACUUGUGUUUGGGUACCCAAAGUUCUUGUGUCUAAUGCCAAAGGACCCAAAACCAUUUGGGUACCUAAAGUCAAGAACUAAAAUUGUUUUGUAGGUAUAUGCAUCCGGGGGCUCAAGUUGGAUACUCGACAGCGGGUGCACAAACCACAUGACUGGGGAGAAAAAGAUGUUCUCCUCAUAUGAGAAAAACCAAGAUCCCCAACGAGCGAUCACAUUCGGGGAUGGAAAUCAAGGUUUGGUCAAAGGUUUGGGUAAAAUAGCUAUAUCUCCUGACCACUCCAUUUCCAAUGUUUUUCUUGUAGAUUCUUUAGAUUACAACUUGCUUUCUGUUUCCCAAUUAUGUCAAAUGGGCUACAACUGUCUUUUUACUGAUAUUGGUGUCACUGUCUUUAGAAGAAGUGAUGAUUCAAUAGCAUUUAAGGGAGUGUUAGAGGGUCAGCUAUACUUGGUAGAUUUUGAUAGAGCUGAACUCGACACUUGCUUAAUUGCUAAGACUAACAUGGGUUGGCUCUGGCACCGCCGACUAGCCCAUGUUGGGAUGAAGAAUCUUCACAAGCUUCUAAAGGGAGAACACAUUUUAGGAUUAACAAAUGUUCAUUUUGAGAAAGACAGGAUUUGUAGCGCAUGCCAAGCAGGGAAGCAAGUUGGCUCUCAUCAUCCGCAUAAGAACAUAAUGACGACCGACAGGCCACUGGAGAUCCUGCACAUGGAUCUAUUCGGCCCGAUCGCUUACAUAAGCAUCGGCGGGAGUAAGUACUGUCUUGUUAUUGUGGAUGAUUAUUCUCGCUUCACUUGGGUAUUCUUUUUACAGGAAAAAUCUCAAACCCAAGAAACCUUAAAGGGAUUCUUGAGACGGGCUCAAAAUGAGUUCGGCUUAAGGAUCAAGAAAAUAAGAAGCGACAACGGGACGGAGUUCAAGAACUCUCAAAUCGAAGGCUUUCUUGAGGAGGAGGGCAUCAAGCAUGAGUUCUCUUCUCCCUACACGCCACAACAAAAUGGUGUAGUGGAGAGGAAGAAUCGAACUCUAUUGGACAUGGCAAGGACCAUGCUUGAUGAGUACAAGACUUCGGAUCGGUUUUGGGCCGAGGCGGUCAACACCGCCUGCUACGCCAUCAACCGGUUGUAUCUACACCGAAUCCUCAAGAAGACAUCAUAUGAACUCCUAACCGGUAAAAAGCCCAACAUUUCAUAUUUUAGAGUCUUUGGUAGCAAAUGCUUUAUUCUUGUUAAAAGAGGUAGAAAAUCUAAAUUUGCUCCUAAGACUGUAGAAGGCUUUUUACUAGGAUAUGACUCAAACACAAGGGCAUAUAAGGUCUUUAACAAGUCCACUGGACUAGUUGAAGUCUCAUGUGACGUUGUGUUUGAUGAGACUAACGGCUCUCAAGUAGAGCAAGUUGAUCUUGAUGAGAUAGGUGAUGAAGAGGCUCCGUGCAUCGCGCUAAUGAACAUGUCCAUUGGGGAUGUGUGUCCUAAGGAAUCCGAGGAGCCUCCAAAUGCACAAGAUCAACCAUCCUCCUCCAUGCAAGCAUCCCCACCAACUCAAAAUGAAGAUGAGGCUCAAGUUGAUAAAGAAGAAGAUCAAUCAAAUGAGCCACCUCAAGAUGAAGGCAUAGAUCAAGGGGGAGAUGCAAAUAAUCAAGACAAGGAAGAUGAAGAGCAAAGGCCGCCACACCCAAGAGUCCACCAAGCAAUCCAACGAGAUCACCCUGUCGACACCAUCCUCGGCGAUAUUCAUAAGGGGGUAACUACUCGAUCUCGUGUUGCACAUUUUUGUGAACAUUACUCGUUUGUUUCCUCUAUUGAGCCACACAGGGUGGAGGAAGCACUCCAAGAUUCGGAUUGGGUGGUGGCGAUGCAAGAGGAGCUCAACAACUUCACUAGGAAUGAGGUAUGGCAUUUAGUUCCACGUCCUAAUCAAAAUGUUGUAGGAACCAAAUGGGUUUUCCGCAACAAGCAAGAUGAGCAUGGUGUGGUGACAAGGAACAAAGCUCGACUUGUGGCCAAAGGAUACUCCCAAGUCGAAGGUUUGGAUUUCGGUGAAACCUAUGCACCCGUAGCUAGGCUUGAGUCAAUUCGCAUAUUAUUAGCCUAUGCUACUUACCAUGGCUUUAAGCUUUAUCAAAUGGACGUGAAAAGUGCCUUCCUCAAUGGACCAAUCAAGGAAGAGGUCUAUGUUGAGCAACCUCCCGGCUUUGAAGACAGUGAGUAUCCUAACCAUGUCUAUAAGCUCUCUAAGGCGCUUUAUGGGCUCAAGCAAGCCCCAAGAGCAUGGUAUGAAUGCCUUAGAGAUUUUCUUAUUGCAAAUGGAUUCAAAGUCGGAAAGGCCGAUCCUACACUCUUUACUAAAACUCUUGAAAAUGACUUGUUUGUAUGCCAAAUUUAUGUUGAUGAUAUUAUAUUUGGGUCUACUAACGAGUCUACUUGUGAAGAGUUUAGUAGGAUCAUGACUCAGAAAUUCGAGAUGUCUAUGAUGGGGGAGUUGAAGUAUUUCUUAGGAUUCCAAGUAAAACAACUCCAAGAGGGCACCUUCAUUAGCCAAACGAAGUACACUCAAGACAUUCUAAACAAGUUUGGGAUGAAGGAUGCCAAGCCCAUCAAGACACCCAUGGGAACCAAUGGGCAUCUCGACCUCGACACGGGAGGUAAGUCCGUGGAUCAAAAGGUAUACCAGUCGAUGAUAGGUUCUUUACUCUAUUUAUGUGCAUCUCGACCGGAUAUUAUGCUUUCCGUUUGCAUGUGUGCAAGAUUCCAAUCCGACCCUAAGGAAUCCCACCUUAAGGUCGUAAAACGAAUCUUGAGAUAUUUGGCUUAUACUCCUAAGUUUGGGCUUUGGUACCCUCGGGGAUCCACAUUUGAUUUGAUUGGUUAUUCUGAUGCCGAUUGGGCGGGGUGCAAAAUCAAUAGGAAGAGCACAUCGGGGACUUGCCAGUUCUUGGGAAGAUCCUUGGUGUCUUGGGCUUCAAAGAAGCAAAAUUCGGUUGCUCUUUCCACCGCCGAAGCCGAGUACAUUGCCGCAGGCCAUUGUUGCGCGCAAUUGCUUUGGAUGAGGCAAACCCUGCGGGACUACGGUUACAAAUUAACCAAAGUCCCUUUGCUAUGUGAUAAUGAGAGUGCAAUCAAAAUGGCCGACAAUCCCGUCGAGCAUAGCCGCACUAAGCACAUAGCCAUUCGGUAUCAUUUUCUUAGGGAUCACUAACAAAAGGGAGAUAUCGAGAUUUCUUAUAUUCACACUAAAGAUCAAUUAGCCGAUAUCUUUACCAAGCCUCUUGACGAACAAACUUUUACUAAACUUAGGCAUGAGCUCAAUAUUCUUGAUUCGCGCAAUUUCUUUUGCUAGAUUGCACACAUAGCUCAUUUAUAUACCUUUGAUCAUAUCUCUUUUAUAUGCUAUGACUAAUGUGUCUUCAAGUCUAUUUCAAAACCAAGUCAUAGGUAUAUUGAAAGGGAAUUGGAGUCUUCGGCGAAGACAAAGGCUUCCACUCCGUAACUCAUACUUCGCCAUCACUCCAAGCAACUCUCUAAUCUUUGGGGAGAAAUGAGCAUCAAAGAAAAGGACUUCGUCUUUGGGAAAGAGUAAGAGCCCAAAGCUAAAGGACCGGACUUCGUCUUUGGUAUAAUCUUAACUCACUCAUUUAUGACCAAAGAGGAAGAUGGCACUUCGAGGGUUCUAAUGAUUCCGUUUUUUUGGCGAUUUAUGCCAAAAAGGGGGAGAAAUGAGCCCAAAGCAAAAGGACCGCACCACCACCAAAUUUCAAACACUUGAGUGAUGAAUAUUUUCAAUUGGUAUCCUAUUGUGUUCAAAAGGGGGAGAAAGUAGUAUUUCAAAAAAUUAUCAAAACCCUCUUGAACACUAAGAGGAGGAUCUCACUUAGGGGGAGUUUUGUUUAGUCAAAGGAGAAGCAUUUGAAACAGGGGGAGAAAAUUUCAAAUCUUGAAAAUGCUUUGCAAAAUCUUAUUCAUUCACCUUUGACUAUUUGCAAAAGAACUUUGAAAAGGAUUUACAAAAGAGUUUGCAAAAACAAAACUCGUGGUGCAAGCGUGGUCCAAAAUGUUAUAUAAGAAAGAACCAAUCCAUGCAUAUCUUGUAAGUAUUCAUAUUGGCUCAAUUCCAAGCAACCUUUACACUUACAUUAUGCAAACUAGUUCAAUUAUGCACUUCUAUAUUUGCUUUGGUUUGUGUUGGCAUCAAUCACCAAAAAGGGGGAGAUUGAAAGGGAAUUAGGCUUACACCUAGUCCCUAAUUAUUUUUGGUGGUUGAAUUGCCCAACACAAAUUUAUUGGCCUAACUAGUUUGCCCAAGUGUAUAGAUUAUACAGGUAUAAAAGGUUCACUCUCAGCCAAUAAAAAGACCAAGUUUUGGAUUCAACAAAGGAGCAAAGUGGCAACCGAAGGCCCUCUGGUCUGGGAGCACCGGACUGUCCGGUGUACACCGGACAGUGUCCGGUGCACCAGAGGACUCCAACGCAAACUCGCCACCUUCGGGAAUUUCCAGAGGCGACUCCGCUAUAAUUCACCGGACUGUCCGGUGUACACCGGACAGUGUCCGGUGCGCCAAGGAGGAGCGGCCUCAGGAACUCGCCAGCUUCGGGAAACGCCAACGGCUAGUCCGCUAAAAUUCACCGGACUGUCCGGUGUGCACCGGACUGUCCGGUGCGACUCCGGAGCAACGGCUAUCUCCGCGCCAACGGCUCUCUGCCGCGCAUUAAAUGCACGCACAGCGCGCGCAGAAGUCAGGCGCGCCCAUACUGGCACACCGGACAAGGAACAGUGCAUGUCCGGUGUGCACCGGACACCCAGGCGGGCCCACAAGUCAGAAGCUCCAACGGUCAGAAUCCAACGGCAGUGAUGACGUGGCAGGGGGCACCGGACUGUCCGGUGUGCACCGGACUGUCCGGUGCGCCAUCGAACAGACAGCCUUCCAACGGCCACAUUUGGUGGUUGGGGCUAUAAAUACCCCAACCACCCCACCAUUCAUGGCAUCCAAGUUUUCCACUUCCCAACUACUACAAGAGCUCUAGCAUUCAAUUCUAGACACACCAAAAGAGAUCAAAUCCUCUCCAAUUCCACAAAAGGCUUUAGCGAUUAGAGAGAGAGAUUUGCCGUGUUACUUUUGGGCUCUUGCGCUUGGAUUGCUUCUUUUCUUUCUCACUUGUUCUUAUGAUCAAAGUUCCAUUGUAAUCAAGGCAAGAGGCACCAAUUGUGUGGUGGCCCUUGCGGGGAAGUUUUGUUCCCGGCUUUGAUUUGAGAAGAGAAGCUCACUCGGUCCGAGGGACCGUUUGAGAGAGGGAAGGGUUGAAAGAGACCCGGCCUUUGUGGCCUCCUCAACGGGGAGUAGGUUUGCGAGAACCGAACCUCGGUAAAACAAAUCCGCGUGUCACACUCUUCAUUUGCUUGAGAUUUGUUUUGCACCCUCUCUCGCGGACUCAUUUAUAUUUCUAACGCUAACCCGGCUUGUAGUUGUGUCUAUAUUUGUAAAUUUCAGUUUCGCCCUAUUCACCCCCCCCUCUAGGCGACUAUCAAAUGUGUUCGGGGGUUCCCAAUCGACCGUAUCCCUUUAUAUUUAUAGGAGAGGAGGUAUGGACCUGUUCCUAGGUGAGAUCCAAGAUAUUCCCAUGGAUAGGUUAGGAUAACCACGUAUGGGAUAAGUACUCUCAUCCAUGUUAAUCUGGACAUGGGCGUGAAAUAUCCGGACCACAGUGCUGGACCGUUCGGCCGUGGCUAGGUGCCAAAUAUGGUGUUCAACAUAUGCCCCUGCCUUUUGGUGGAGCUUGGUGAACUAAAAUCACCUAGUACUACCAGACUCUUUCGAGAAACAAUAGAUUCUGCAACUUGCCUUGUUCCCAAAAUAGGAACACUAGCCCGUUGUAAGUCAUCGGCUCUUGUGAUCAAAUAAUAUAACUAUUUGAUAGAACUUUAAUGUACAUAGAUCGUUUUGGAUUGCAUCCUAUUUAGUUGUAUCUACCUUAUCAACAUGUCAAUAGGCAAAAACUUGUGGUGCCCCCAGCCCGAAUAAGCAAACGGAUUUGGGCCAGUAAUACCGAUUCAUCGUCGUACCAGCCCCACUUGAGUAGGACAACCCAUCAGCGAUGAAAACACUAGAAAGCACCAUGACAUCCCUAGAGGAGGAUGACCAGACGAUCUUGGUUGCACCACUUUUUGGGCCAUUUUAGUCGGCCUCUGCUUUUGCAUAGACCACAUUUUUUACUUUGUUCGUUUUAUUGGUCGGUCGUGUGGAACGACCUUCUUCUUCAUAUAUUUAGCAUAUAGCUGAUAAAAAGUAGGACCUACUCUGUUGAGUCGAUCAGACGUCUUGGAAGUGUUUUGCUUCCUAGUACCUAUUUUAGGACGCUAUGGUCGGACGGUCUAAGGUUGCUUCUGCUUCUAGUUGUAGGCAGACUGUCUGGCCUUCACAGCUGGACUGUCCACGCUUGACCCGGACUAUCUGGCCUUAGUGCUGGACCCACCCGGACUAUCAUGCUUGCACUCCCAGCGUCUCUGGUCUUUCUUUUGUCUAGAGCCUUUCGAGUAAACACUCCAUGCGAGGGUCACCAAUUGUAACACCCUAGCCACCCCGAGCAUGGCGGUCGUCACUCCUUACAGCUUUAUAGGCUUAGACUCUCCACACAGAUCAACACUAGUCUUUUAUGCGCACUUUGUACUCACUUAUGCACACCCAGGAAGCACUUCUCGAUCGGUCACCCAUCCCAAAUUGCUCCAAGCAAAGCACGCUUAAUAACUUGGUGGUUCUUUGGAGAGGAGCUUCCGGAGAAGAAGGAUCACCUUGUGAGUAUGAGUAUUCUAAUAAUUCUAUUAAGCCAUGGGACAUGUCAUCACAAUCCACCCCCUUAGAAGAUCAAUGUCCUUGUCGAUCAAUCCCAAGUCAGGAUCCUCCCUUCUUGGCCACGUAUGUGCGUCUAGUGUCAGCACAUAUACCAUGUCAUCUGACCACUUUGUGCCCACAUACGCCAUGCACACUAUGUCCACACACCUAGCCUAUACACACUCAUGAAACCGUGAGGGUCAGCUCUGAUACCAAUUGUAACAUGCCAGCCACCACAGUCCUGGCGGUCGUCACUCCUAGCACCUUUAUAGGCUUAGAAUCUCCCCAUAGGCCAACACUAGUCUUUUCCGCACACUUUGUCCUCACUCAUGCGCACCUGGGAAGCAAUCCCCAAAUUUCUUCAAGCAAGGCAUGCUUAACUUGGAGGUUCUUUGAAGAGGAGCUUCCGGAAAGGAAGGAUCACCUUGUUGGUAUAAUUAUUCUAUUAAUUAUAUUAAGCCAUGGGCACGGUCAUCAAACAAUGAUAAUAUUUUUACCUUUGUCUUUAUUGGUCACACAUGGUCGAACCAAGAUUUUUUUGCUCGUCAGCUCUAAUGUGUUGACAGGGAUAGGUGGUAUGUCAAUCUUCAUUUCUUGAAAUCUCAACCGGCCUUUAUUUAUAGUCGAUUGUAUUUGUCGACAAAAAACAUUACAACCAUUGGUGUUUUGAAGAAAUGAGCCAUACCAUUUACAAUAUGCACGCCUUUUCAAUUCUUCUAUCGAGGGAAUUGUAUGCGGCAAUUUAAUGUUACCAUUCUUAAGUAACUUGUCAAAUAUUUUAUCACACUUAGCAACAUUAAAUGUGAACUUAACUUUUCCCUUUUUGACGAGUGUAGAUGAGAGCGAGCAGAAGAUUUGGCCUUAACAGGCCAAACAAGCUCAACGACAUGUAACUUUUUCAGCUUAUCCCCUGAGCUACAAUCGCAGUGAUAUUCAUCCUAGGGCUUAGGUGACCGGCUAUCUUUAUGUUGGCCUUCUGCACUAGGACGGUCACAAGUGGCUUUCGGUAUUUCAGACAGUACGACCUGUGUGGUCGGACGAUCUGUGAAGGGAUCAAACGGUCUGGUAUUAUAUCCGGAGUGUUCAAUUGUGCCGAGCAUCGCCUGCGAGCCUUGUGGUGGGCUCUGUGUGACUCUGGACCGUCUAGCGUAAGGUGUCGGAGGGUCCGAUAGAGGGUCAGAUGGUUUGAGAUCGUGUGUGGACUGCCCGCCCGUGCUCAGAGUCGAUCCACCGUAUAGUGAAGAUGACGACAGCGGUUGCCCCGGAUAUGAGUUCGUCGGCAUUACCAUAAUAUAACUAGGACUGAGAAAACCCAUUUGUCGCUGAUGUGUUUGGCACAAUUGUUUCGGUGUCCAAUUCAUGUGACAAAAAAUUAUGCGUAUGAGAUUUUGCAUGCAUCAUUUUCUAGAUAUCCUUUGUCAUACUUUUAAUCCGAUUAUCAAAAGAAAUUUUAAUAGAUUGAAUAUCAUCGAAUGAUGCGGUGUCACUUAUAGUAGGUAGUUGUUGCAACAAGGCUGGCAUGGAAUUGUUGUUUAUUUCCCUCUCCAGGAGGACCUUCUGGUGGUGAUCUAUCAUGAAGUGCGAGAGGUGCCACUUUUCCAAUCGCGCUUUUGAGCUUGUGUUAACGCUGUAACUCCGUGUCCCACUUCUUCAUGUAGACUUUUAAUUCCUCAUGCUCGGCGACCGAUAAAUUAGACAGCCUUGUGUCGCUAUCUCGAGAAACAUCGUUGAGAUCUUUAGAGAAUCGGCCAUAGAAGCUGAUUUUUGUAGAUUUGCAACCUUCGUCCGCAGCGAAAUCAUCAAAAACUAUGUUGGAUCUGAUUCAGGGCUAGACACUAUGGGUGUACUACCUAGUGGUGCCCUUUGUGGCAGCAUGGACGUCCGCGGCUCUAGGCCAGACGGUCCGCGACCUCGCUGCAGCAGCGGCUCCUUCCCUGCGUCGCUCCAGACAGUCUGCUAUGACGCAUGGUCGUCUUCCUCCUCGUGAGAACCUAGAUCUCGUCCGCUAGGGGAGAGAUCUUAGGAUGCUUCUGAGUCGACAGGCCACCCGGGGCAUCCCAGAUGACGUAGAGUCGCCUAGUGAUUAAAAAAUUGAAAGGGAAUUAGGCUUACACCUAGUUCCUAUAUAAUUUUGGUGGUUGAAUUGCCCAACACAAAUCUUUGGACUAACUAGUUUGCUCUAGUGUAUAUGUUAUACAGGUGCUAAAGGUUCACACUUAGCCAAUAAAAAGACCAAGAGUUGGGUUCAACAAAAGAGCAAAGGGCCAACCGAAGGCACCUCUGGUCUGGCGCACCGGACUGUCCGGUGUGCCACCGGACAGUGUCCGGUGCACCACCGGACAUGUCCGGUGCACCAGAGGACUCCAACGCAAACUCACCACCUUCGGGAAAUUCCAGAAGCACUCGCGCUAUAAUUCACCGGACUGUCCGGUGUACACCGGACAGUGUCCGGUGCACCAAGGAGGAGCGGCCUCAGGAACUCGCCAGCUUCGGGAAUCGCCAACGGCUAGUCCGCUAUAAUUCACCGGACAUGUCCAGUGUGCACCGGACUGUCCGGUGCAACUCCGGAGCAACGGCUAACUCGCGCCAACGGCUACCUGCAGAGCAUUUAAUGGGCGCGCAGCGCGCGCAGAAGUCAGGCAUGCCCAUACUGGCGCACCGGACAGUGAACAGUGCAUGUCCGGUGCGCCACCGGACAUCAAGGCGGGCCCACAAGUCAGAACUCCAACGGUCAGAAUCCAACGGCAGUGAUGACGUGGCGGGGGCACCGGACAUGUCCGGUGCGCCAUCGAACAGAAAGGCUCCCAACGGCCACUUUUGGUGGUUGGGGCUAUAAAUACCCCAACCACCCCAUCAUUCAUUGCAUCCAAGUUUUCCACUUCCCAACUACUACAAGAGCUCUAGCAUUCAAUUCUAGACACACCAAAGAGAUCAAAUCCUCUCCAAAUUCCACACAACGCCCUAGUGACUAGAGAGAGAGAUUUGCUUGUGUUCUUUCGAGCUCUUGCGCUUGGAUUGCUUUCUUCUUUCUUGAUUCCUUCAUUGCGAUCAAACUCACUUGUAAUUGAGGCAAGAGACACCAAACUUGUGGUGGUCCUUGUGGGAACUUUGUGUUCCAAGUGAUUGAGAAGAGAAAGCUCACUCGAUCCAAGGGAUCGUUUGAGAGAGGGAAGGGUUGAAAGAGACCCGGCCUUUGUGGCCUCCUCAACGGGGAGUAGGUUUGCGAGAACCGAACCUCGGUAAAACAAAUCCACGUGUCACACUCUUCAUUUGCUUGCGAUUUGUUUUGCACCCUCUCUCGCGGACUCGUUUCUUUAUUACUAACGCUAACCCGGCUUGUAGUUGUGUUUAUAUUUGUAAAUUUCAGUUUUGCCCUAUUCACCCCCCCUCUAGGCGACUAUCAAUUGGUAUCGGAGCCCGGUGCUUCAUUAGAGCCUAACCGCUCGAAGUGAUGUCGGGAGAUCACGCCAAGAAGGAGAUGGAGACCGGCGAAAAGCCCACUACAAGUCACGGGAGCACUUCAUCGGAAGAGUCCCACACCAAGAGGAGGGAGAAGAAGAAGAGCUCCUCCAACAAAGGGAAGGAGAAGAAAUCUUCUUCUCACCACAAAGAGAAGAAGGAAAAAUCUUCUUCCCACAAGCCGCAUCGGAGUGGGGACAAGCAAAAGAGGAUGAGGAAAGUGGUCUACUACGAGACCGACACUUCAUCAACAUCGACCUCCGGCUCCGAUGCGCCCUCCGUAACUUCUAAACGCCAAGAGCGUAAGAAGUUUAGUAAGAUCCCCUUACACUAUCCUCGCAUUUCUAAACAUGCACCUUUACUUUCCGUCCCAUUAGGCAAACCACCAACUUUUGAUGGUGAAGAUUAUGCUAGGUGGAGUGAUUUAAUGCGAUUUCAUCUAACCUCACUCCACAAAAGUAUAUGGGAUGUUGUUGAGUUUGGUGCACAGGUACCAUCCGUAGGGGAUAAGGAUUAUGAUGAGGAUGAGGUGGCCCAAAUCGAGCACUUCAACUCUCAAGCGACAACGAUACUCCUCGCCUCUUUAAGUAGAGAGGAGUAUAACAAAGUGCAAGGGUUGAAGAGCGCCAAGGAAGUUUGGGAUGUGCUCAAAACCGCGCACGAGGGAGAUGAGCUCACCAAAAUCACCAAGCGGGAAACGAUCGAGGGGGAGCUCGGUCGGUUCCGGCUUCGCAAAGGGGAGGAGCCACAACACAUGUACAACCGGCUCAAGACCUUGGUGAACCAAGUGCGCAACCUCGGGAGCGUAAAGUGGGAUGACCAUGAAGUGGUUAAGGUUAUUCUAAGAUCUCUUAUUUUCCUUAACCCUACUCAAGUUCAAUUAAUUCGUGGUAAUCCUAGAUAUACUAAAAUGACCCCCGAGGAAGUAAUCGGGCAUUUUGUAAGUUUUGAGUGCAUGAUCGAAGGCUCGAGGAAGAUCAACGAGCUCGAUGAUCCAUCCACAUCCGAGGCUCAACCCGUCGCAUUCAAGGCGACGGAAGAAAAGAAGGAGGAGUCUACUCCAAGUCGACAACCAAUAGACGCCUCCAAGCUCGACAAUGAGGAAAUGGCGCUCGUCAUCAAGAGCUUCCGCCAAAUCCUCAAGCAAAGGAGAGGGAAGGACUACAAGUCCCGCUCUAAGAAGGUUUGCUACAAGUGUGGUAAGCCCGGUCAUUUUAUUGCUAAAUGUCCUAUAUCUAGUGACAGUGACCGAGGCGACGACAAGAAGGGAAGAAGAAAAGAGAAGAAGAGGUACUACAAGAAGAAGGGCGGCGAUGCCCAUGUUUGUCGGGAGUGGGACUCCGACGAAAGCUCUAGCGACUCCUCCGACGACGAGGACGCCGCCAACAUCGCCGUCACCAAGGGACUCCUCUUCCCCAACGUCAGCCACAAAUGCCUCAUGGCAAAGGACGGCAAAAAGAAGAAGGUUAAAUCUAACUCCUCCACUAAAUAUGAAUCUUCUAGUGAUGAUAAUGCUAGUGAUGAGGAGGAUAAUUUACGUACCCUUUUUGCCAACCUCAACAUGCAACAAAAGGAGAAACUUAAUGAAUUGAUUAGUGCUAUUCAUGAAAAGGAUGACCUUUUGGAUACUCAAGAGGACUUCCUUAUUAAAGAAAAUAAGAAGCAUGUUAAGGUUAAAAAUGCUUAUGCUCUAGAAAUUGAAAAAUGUGAAAAAUUAUCUAGUGAGCUAAGCACUUGCCAUGAAACAAUAGACAACCUUAGAAAUGAAAAUGCUAAUUUGAUAGCUAAGGUUGAUUCUCAUGUUUGCAAUGUUUCAAUUUCCAACCCUAGAGAUAAUAAUGAUGAUUUGCUUGCUAGGAUUGAAGAAUUAAACAUUUCUCUUGCUAGCCUUAGAAUUGAGAAUGAAAAAUUGCUUGCUAAGGGUAAAGAUUUUGAUGUUUGCAAUACUACCAUUUCCGACCUUAGAACUAAGAAUGAUAUCUUGCAUGCUAAGGUUGUAGAAUUAAAAUCUUGCAAACCCUCUACAUCUACCAUUGAGCACGUUUCCAUUUGUACUAGAUGUAGAGAUGUUAACAUUGAUGCUAUUCAUGAUCGUAUGGCUUUAAUUAAACAACAAAAUAAUCAUAUAGCUAAAUUAGAUGCUAAAAUUGUCGAGCAUAACUUAGAAAGUGAAAAAUUUAAAUUUGCUAGAAGUAUGCUCUAUAAUGGGAGACGCCCUGGCAUCAAGGAUGGCAUUGGCUUCCAAAGGGGAGACAAUGUCAAACUUAGUGCCCCUCCUAAAAGAUUGUCUAAUUUUGUUAAGGGCAAGGCUCCCAUGCCUCAGGAUAACGAGGGUUACAUUUUGUACCCUGCCGGUUAUCCCGAGGACAAAAUUAGGAAAAUUCAUUCUAGGAAGUCUCACUCUGGCCCUAAUCAUGCUUUCAUGUAUAAGGGUGAGACAUCUAGCUCUAGGCAACCAACCCGUGCUAAGUUGCCUAGAAAGAAAAUUCCUACUGCAUCAAAUGAACAUAGUCUCUCAUUUAAAACUUUUGAUGCAUCUUAUGUGUUGACUAACAAAUCCGGCAAAGUAGUUGCCAAAUAUGUUGGGGGCAAGCACAAGGGGUCAAAGACUUGUGUUUGGGUACCCAAAGUUCUUGUGUCUAAUGCCAAAGGACCCAAAACCAUUUGGGUACCUAAAGUCAAGAACUAAACUUGUUUUGUAGGUUUAUGCAUCCGGGGGCUCAAGUUGGAUCAUCGACAGCGGGUGCACAAACCACAUGACAGGGGAGAAAAGGAUGUUCUCCUCCUACGAGAAAAACCAAGAUCCCCAACGAGCGAUCACAUUCGGGGAUGGAAAUCAAGGUUUGGUCAAAGGUCUUGGUAAAAUCGCUAUAUCUCCUGACCAUUCUAUUUCCAAUGUUUUUCUUGUAGAUUCUUUAGAUUACAAUUUGCUUUCCGUAUCUCAAUUAUGUCAAAUGGGCUACAACUGUCUUUUCACUGAUGUAGGUGUCACUGUCUUUAGAAGAAGUGAUGAUUCAAUAGCAUUUAAGGGUGUGUUAGAGGGUCAGCUAUACUUAGUAGAUUUUGAUAGAGCUGAACUCGACACAUGCUUAAUUGCUAAGACUAACAUGGGUUGGCUCUGGCACCGCCGACUAGCCCAUGUUGGGAUGAAGAAUCUUCACAAUCUUCUAAAGGGAGAACACAUUUUAGGAUUAACAAAUGUUCAUUUUGAGAAAGACAGGAUUUGUAGCGCAUUCCAAGCAGGGAAGCAAGUUGGCACUCAUCAUCCGCAUAAAAACAUAAUGACGACCGACAGGCCACUGGAGCUCCUACACAUGGAUCUAUUCGGCCCGAUCGCUUACAUAAGCAUCGGCGGGAGUAAGUACUGUCUAGUUAUUGUGGAUGAUUAUUCUCGCUUCACUUGGGUAUUCUUUUUACAAGAAAAAUCUCAAACCCAAGAGACCUUAAAGGGAUUCUUGAGACGGGCUCAGAAUGAGUUCGGCUUAAGGAUCAAGAAAAUAAGAAGCGACAACGGGACGGAGUUCAAGAAUUCUCAAAUUGAAGGCUUCCUUGAGGAGGAGGGCAUCAAGCAUGAGUUCUCUUCUCCCUACACGCCUCAACAAAAUGGUGUAGUGGAGAGGAAGAAUAGAACUCUAUUGGACAUGGCAAGGACCAUGCUUGAUGAGUACAAAACCUCGGAUCGGUUUUGGGCCGAGGCGGUCAACACCGCCUGCUACGCCAUCAACCGGUUGUAUCUACACCGAAUCCUCAAGAAGACAUCAUAUGAACUCCUCACCGGUAAAAAGCCCAAUAUUUCAUAUUUUAGAGUUUUUGGUAGCAAAUGCUUUAUUCUUGUUAAAAGAGGUAGAAAAUCUAAAUUUGCUCCUAAAACGGUAGAAGGCUUUUUACUUGGUUAUGACUCAAACACAAGGGCAUAUAGGGUCUUUAACAAGUCCACUGGACUAGUUGAAGUCUCAUGUGACGUUGUGUUUGAUGAAACUAACGGCUCUCAAGUAGAGCAAGUUGAUCUUGAUGAGAUAGGUGAUGAAGAGGCUCCGUGCAUCGCGCUAAGGAACAUGUCCAUUGGGGAUGUGUGUCCUAAGGAAUCCGAAGAGCCUCCAAAUGCACAAGAUCAACCAUCCUCCUCCAUGCAAGCAUCUCCACCAACUCAAAAUGAGGAAGAGGCUCAAGUUGAUGAAGAAGAAGAUCAAUCAAAUGAGCUACCUCAAGAUGACGGCAUAGAUCAAGGGGGAGAUGCAAAUAAUCAAGGCAAGGAGGAUGAAGAGCAAAGACCGCCACACCCAAGAGUCCACCAAGCAAUCCAACGAGAUCACCCCGUCGACACCAUCCUCGGCGAUAUUCAUAAGGGGGUAACUACUAGAUCUCGGGUUGCACAUUUUUGUGAACAUUACUCGUUUGUUUCCUCUAUUGAGCCACACAAGGUAGAGGAAGCACUUCAAGAUUCGGAUUGGGUGGUGGCGAUGCAAGAGGAGCUCAACAACUUCACUAGGAAUGAGGUAUGGCAUUUAGUUCCACGUCCUAAUCAAAAUGUUGUAGGAACCAAAUGGGUCUUCCGCAACAAGCAAGAUGAGCAUGGUGUGGUGACAAGGAACAAAGCUCGACUUGUGGCCAAAGGAUACUCCCAAGUCGAAGGUUUGGAUUUCGGUGAAACCUAUGCACCCGUAGCUAGGCUUGAGUCAAUUCGUAUAUUAUUAGCCUAUGCUACUUACCAUGGCUUUAAGCUUUAUCAAAUGGACGUGAAAAGUGCCUUCCUCAAUGGACCAAUCAAGGAAGAGGUCUAUGUUGAGCAACCUCCCGGCUUUGAAGACAGUGAGUAUCCUAACCAUGUCUAUAAGCUCUCUAAGGCGCUUUAUGGGCUCAAGCAAGCCCCAAGAGCAUGGUAUGAAUGCCUUAGAGAUUUCCUUACUGCUAAUGGCUUCAAAGUCGGUAAGGCCGAUCCUACACUCUUUACUAAAACUCUUGAAAAUGACUUAUUUGUAUGCCAAAUUUAUGUUGAUGAUAUUAUAUUUGGAUCUACUAACGAGUCUACAUGUGAAGAGUUUAGUAUGAUUAUGACACAAAAGUUCGAGAUGUCUAUGAUGGGGGAGUUGAAGUAUUUUCUAGGAUUCCAAGUCAAGCAACUCCAAGAGGGCACCUUCCUAAGCCAAACAAAGUACACUCAAGAUAUUCUAAACAAGUUUGGGAUGAAGGAUGCCAAACCCAUCAAGACACCCAUGGGAAUAAAUGGGCAUCUCGACCUCGACACGGGAGGUAAGUUCGUGGAUCAAAAGGUAUACCGGUCGGUGAUAGGUUCUUUACUCUAUUUAUGUGCAUCACGACCGGAUAUUAUGCUUUCCGUAUGCAUGUGUGCAAGAUUCCAAGCCGACCCUAAGGAAGCUCACCUUACGGCCGUGAAACGAAUCUUGAGAUAUUUGGCUUAUACUCCUAAGUUUGGGCUUUGGUAUCCUAGGGGAUCCACUUUUGAUUUGAUUGGUUAUUCGGAUGCCGAUUGGGCGGGGUGUAAAAUCAAUAGGAAGAGCACAUCGGGGACUUGCCAGUUCUUGGGAAGAUCCUUGGUGUCUUGGGCUUCAAAGAAGCAAAAUUCGGUCGCUCUUUCCACCGCCGAAGCCGAGUACAUUGCCGCAGGUCAUUGUUGCGCGCAAUUGCUUUGGAUGAGGCAAACCCUGCGGGACUACGGUUACAAAUUAACCAAAGUCCCUUUGCUAUGUGAUAAUGAGAGUGCAAUCAAGAUGGCAGAUAAUCCCGUCGAGCAUAGCCGCACUAAACACAUAGCCAUUCGGUAUCACUUUUUAAGGGAUCACCAACAAAAGGGAGAUAUCGAGAUUUCUUACAUUAACACUAAAGAUCAAUUAGCCGAUACCUUUACCAAGCCUCUUGAUGAACAAACUUUUACCAAACUUAGGCAUGAGCUCAAUAUUCUUGAUUCUAGGAACUUCUUUUGUUAAAAAUUGCACACAUUGCUCUUCUAUAUACCUUUGAUCAUAUCUCUUUCAUAUGCUAUGACUAAUGUGUUUUUCAAGUCUAUUUCAAACCAAGUCAUAGGUAUAUUGAAAGGGAAUUGGAGUCUUCGGCGAAGACAAAGGCUUCCACUCCGUAACUCAUCCUUCACCGUCGCUCCAAGAGAUUCUCCAUUCUUGGGGGAGAAAAGCAUGAGCAUCAAAGAAAAGGACUUUGUCUUUGGGGGAGAGAGUAAGAGCCCAAGGCAAAAGGACCGGACUUCAUCUUUGGUAUAAUCUUAACUCAUUCAUUUAUGACCAAAGGGGAAGAAAGCACUUCAGAGGGCUCUAAUGAUUCCGUUUUUGGCGAUUCAUGCCAAAGGGGGAGAAAGUAAGAGCCCAAAACAAAAGGACCGCACCACCACCAAUUUCAAAAACUUAGUGUUGAAUAUUUUCAAUUAGUAUCCUAUUGUGUUCAAAAGGGGGAGAAAGUAGUAUUUCAAAAAUGAUAUAUCAAAACCCUCUUGAACACUAAGAGGAGGAUUUCAUUUAAGGGGGAGUUUUGUUUAGUCAAAGGAAAAGCAUUUGAAACAGGGGGAGAAAAUUUCAAAUCUUGAAAAUGCUUCUCAUAAUCUUAUUCAUUUACCUUUGACUAUUUGCAAAAGAACUUUGAAAAGGAUUUACAAAAGAGUUUGCAAAAACAAAACAUAUGGUGCAAGCGUGGUCCAAAAUAUUAUAAGUAAGAAACAAUCCAUACAUAUCUUGUAAGUAGUUAUAUUGGCUCAAUUCCAAGCAACCUUUGCACUUAUAUUAUGCAAACUAGUUCAAUUAUGCACUUCUAUAUUUGCUUUGGUUUGUGUUGGCAUCAAUCACCAAAAAGGGGGAGAUUGAAAGGGAAUUAGGCUUACACCUAGUUCCUAUAUAAUUUUGGUGGUUGAAUUGCCCAACACAAAUCUUUGGACUAACUAGUUUGCUCUAGUGUAUAUGUUAUACAGGUGCUAAAGGUUCACACUUAGCCAAUAAAAAGACCAAGAGUUGGGUUCAACAAAAGAGCAAAGGGCCAACCGAAGGCACCUCUGGUCUGGCGCACCGGACUGUCCGGUGUGCCACCGGACAGUGUCCGGUGCACCACCGGACAUGUCUGGUGCACCAGAGGACUCCAACGCAAACUCGCCACCUUCGGGAAAUUCCAGAAGCACUCGCGCUAUAAUUCACCGGACUGUCCGGUGUACACCGGACAGUGUCCGAUGCACCAAGGAGGAGCGGCCUCAGGAACUCGCCAGCUUCGGGAAUCGCCAACGGCUAGUCCGCUAUAAUUCACCGGACAUGUCCGGUGUGCACCGGACUGUCCGGUGCAACUCCGGAGCAACGGCUAACUCGCGCCAACGGCUACCUGCAGAGCAUUUAAUGGGCGCGCAGCGCGCGCAGAAGUCAGGCAUGCCCAUACUGGCGCACCGGACAGUGAACAGUGCAUGUCCGGUGCGCCACCGGACAUCAAGGCGGGCCCACAAGUCAGAACUCCAACGGUCAGAAUCCAACGGCAGUGAUGACGUGGCGGGGGCACCGGACUGUCCGGUGCGCCAUCGAACAGAAAGGCUCCCAACGACCACUUUUGGUGGUUGGGGCUAUAAAUACCCCAACCACCCCAUCAUUCAUUGCAUCCAAGUUUUCCACUUCCCAACUACUACAAGAGCUCUAGCAUUCAAUUCUAGACACACCAAAGAGAUCAAAUCCUCUCCAAAUUCCACACAACGCCCUAGUGACUAGAGAGAGAGAUUUGCUUGUGUUCUUUCGAGCUCUUGCGCUUGGAUUGCUUUCUUCUUUCUUGAUUCCUUCAUUGCGAUCAAACACACUUGUAAUUGAGGCAAGAGACACCAAACUUGUGGUGGUCCUUGUGGGAACUUUGUGUUCCAAGUGAUUGAGAAGAGAAAGCUCACUCGAUCCGAGGGAUCGUUUGAGAGAGGGAAGGGUUGAAAGAGACCCGGCCUUUGUGGCCUCCUCAACUGGGAGUAGGUUUGCGAGAACCGAACCUCGGUAAAACAAAUCCACGUGUCACACUCUUCAUUUGCUUGCGAUUUGUUUUGCACCCUCUCUCGCGAACUCGUUUCUUUAUUACUAACGCUAACCCGGCUUGUAGUUGUGUUUAUAUUUGUAAAUUUCAGUUUCGCCCUAUUCACCCCCCUCUAGGCGACUAUCAAAAAUCCAGUCAAGGAAGAGUAUCUUGAAUAAAGUGGAUCUUGCUCCCCGGGAGUGGUAGAAUGCUAUGGUCGUCUUGGGGUCGGCAAGCCACCCAAGACGGAUCUAGACGACGUUAAGUCGAAUAGAGGUGGAGGUGGAUAUGUGGAAAGCUAUAAUUAGAACUAUGUUGCAUCUACUUUUAGGAUAGACAUGAUAAAGAAAGUAAUAGACGAAUCUAGACGACGUUAAGUCGAAUAGAGGUGGAGGUGGAUAUGUGGAAAACUACAAUUAGAACUAUGUUGCAUCUACUUUUAGGACAGGCAUGAUAAAGAAAGUAAUAGAUUGGUUCGAUUAGAAUAUAUUCGGGGUUCCCAAUCAGUCAUAUCCUUUUAUAUUUAUAGGAGAGGAGGUCUAGACCUGUUUCUAGGCGAGAUCUAAUAGAUUUUCAUGGAUAUGUUAGGAUAACCACGUAUGAGAUAAGUAGUCUCGCCCGUUUAAUAUGGUCGUGAGGGUGCGAACCGGACCGGACCACAUGGUCGGACCGUCCGGCCGUGGCUAGGUGCCAAAUAUAGCACUCAACAAAUAUUAAUAGUUAUUUAAUAAAUUAGUGUAGGGUUUUAUCCUACAUUUGUAUAUUGAUCAAAACAAAAAAAAGUAUACACACUAAUAAUAAGGGUAACUGAAAUGUUUUACACGUGUUGCAUCCAUAGUUUUAUACUCUCUACUAUCACAUGCUUCAAUCUAUGGCAGGUAAGUAGAGAUGUCCAAACGGGCCGCCCGGCCCGGUCCGGCCCAGGCCCGGUGAAGCCCGGCCCGUUUUGGGCCCGGCCCGCCAGGCACGAUUAAAAAACUGGGCCGGGCCGGCUAAGCACGCGGGCUCAAUUUCUUGUCCGAGCCCGGCCCGCAACGGGCUUAAACAGGCCGGGCCGGCCCGUUUAGCACGAAAAAAACGGGCCGAAAAGCGGGCUAUGCGGGCCGAAAAGCACGUUUUAGUGUAAAAAAGCGGGCUUAACGGGCUUAGAGCUAAACGGGCCGUGCCGGGCUAGCCCACCGUGCCUAAUUUCCUGUCCGAGCCCGGCUCGCUUAUUCGUGCCGGGCCGGCCGGGCCCGCCUAUAACCGGGUCGUGCCGGGCUCGGACCGGACCCAAAAAGCGGGCUUCGUGCCGGGCUCGCGGGCCUCGUGCUUAUUGGACAUCUAUACAGGUAAGUGUCAUUUCUUUCAGAAGCAUGUCCCUGCAAGCUGUUACCGUGGGAGGAGACUUGUCGAAGAUCUAGCUAUUUCGAUAUUUCCAAAUAGAUCAAGACAUGAGUAUCAUGGCUUCCAUUCUCCACGGUUUUAUAAACUGAAGUCGAACUCUCUGUAUCGCCAGCGGUACAUUAGAGGUGUUUGGAACUGUAAUUCCAAACAGUUGCUAACAUCUUCGAACAAAGUUACACUUUAAGAAGAGAUGGGCAGUUUUCUUCCCAUUGUUAUAUGCAAUUUUAACAAAUAUUAAUAGUAAUAAUAAAGUUUUUGUAAUAAUAAUAAUCCAAUGCAAGAAGCGGCGCGACCACUAGGUAGGCCGGCCGAAUCUUAGCAAUUCGAUCUACUGCGUCGCGUCUAAGCAGAAAUUCGAAAACGCAAUAAUGCAGAAGGAAAAUAGGCAGCAUCUACUUUUGUUUUUGUUAAAAAAAUAUAAGGAAAAAAUGAACGGACAAUAUAUGAGAAAGGUGCUUGAUCGGAUCGGAGGCAGCGAUUUUCGAAUAUGGAAUUGCGUUGUUUUUUUCGACGGUUCGAGUAAACCGUCCGGAAUCGUUUUUUAUCCAACUGUGUCGCUAAACGUACCUUGUGGAUGCUUCUGCUAAUUAAUUCCUUGUCAUCAUUAUCAUCAGCAGUGGAUAAUUGCGUUGCGUUGCGCCGGAGAAAAGAGCCUAAACAUUCGAGCCGCCCGGCCCAUGCCCAAAAAAAACCUAUCCUAUUUGAAUUUAGGUCAUACCGGGCCGACCCACGGCCUGACACGUAAUUGAUUGAAUGGCCGUACUUAUUUCGGACGGCUCAAAAUUAUAAAAGUCUGAAAUUCAAUUUUUAGACCAAAAUUCACAUCAGGGCCCGAAAUUUAGUUUUUUGUCCGAAAUUCACAUUAAAGCCCGAAAUUCACAUAACCCUAAAUUCAACACAAAUUUAUAAAACAAAUAAAUUUGACCAAAAGCAAACUUAAUAUUUGUAUUAAGUUACCAGAGCUAUGUAAUGACUACCUCGUUUACAAAUCAUUUCGUUAGAAGGAAAAAAAGUAUAAUCAGCUCUAUACAAAGUUUGCAAGUUCAAUUCAUUAUCUAAUGUUUAUAACAAAAGUAAAAUUACAUCACCUACUCUAAUUCAAAGCUACAAAAAACAUCUAACUAGUAUUAUCUUUAGCUUUGUGUUCUUUAUCAAGUACAUGAAAGUGUGAUUUUAAUAAGUAUAUGGGCCUUUUCGUGCCUCUGUAUAGGCCAUUUCGUGUCUGCCUUAAAUGAGCCAUGCUUAUGCCCGUCCAUAGGCCGCGACCUUGCCCAAACCCGGCCUGAUAUUUCGGAUCGUGCCGGCCCUGCACUAAAAUAUUUUGGGUCGUGCCUGAGUCGUGUUUUUUUCGUGCUUCUAUCAGGUCCGGCCCAAAUGUACACCUAUAAAAGCCACAAACUCAGUUUGGAGAUCAAAUUAAACACAUAUCUAACUAGGGACUCAUAAAUGUUAAAAAUCCUAUGAAAAAACACAUGGGCUAAUCUAAACGUAUGUGCAUGAGAAGAGAAAUCUAGGCCUCAGAAUGGGCCAUAUAAACUCAUGAGCAGAAAGGGGCUCCAAACUCACGGGCUAACAAAUUUGAGCUUUUUUGGGUUCUCCACUGAUCAGGGCAAAGUUGAAUUAAGACAUUCCACUAAAGGGUCGACACAGAUCGAUCAUCAAACAUAGUCCAGAUGUGCUAGUGGAUCGAACGAAAGGGCAUAAGCCUGUGGAUCAUGUCAGGGGCGGAGCCACGUUGGUCCAAGUGUUGUCCAUGGACAGCAAUGCUUUUAAUAGAAGUCCAUAAUAUUUGUUAGUAUUCACUAUAGAUGACAGCAGCCUGUAGUGUAGUUGGACAUCAAUCCGGCCUCUGAUUUGUUUGUUUAAGUAAUGUUAUAUGAGAGGUAAAUACUUGACUUUGUUUAAAUAAUGUUAUUUUGACUUAAUGUUACAUUAUAUGGUAGUACAUAUUGAAUUGAAAUUGAAACAUUUUUUACACAUUAAUUGCACCGUGACAUCAUUAGUAAAAAAUUCUACAUCCACCCCUGGAUCAUGUGAAAGGGCAACGUCUCAAUCUCUCAGGCGUUGUUCGCAGGGAUGCGGCACGAUACCUGUAGGCGGCCCCGUGGAGAUGUUUUCCCUGCCGUGGAGGUCGUCCUCGUGACCCAGCAGCCGCCAGCUUGACCCAAAACUCUGCUACAACGUCAUCCAAUGGGUGUGGUUCUUUCUCCUCACUCUGCCGUGUUCGAUCCAUUAUGAGUUUGGAUCUACUUCUCCUUUUUUUAUUGGUUUCUUCCCACCCUUCUUCCUUGUUGCUUUCUCGGUAACGAAUGAUGACUGCUGAGAACUUCAAUCAGAAAGAACAAGUAUAAAGUUUGUAUGUAUGACUGACCUAGAUAAGUUCUCAUAUGUUCCCUGUAAUCUCUAUGGUUCAUAGCUUUCUUAACAUUUUCUAGAGGAAAGCUUCAGUUUGUUUUCUGGUUUUAGAGCUUCCAGUUUUUUGGUAAUUCUAGUCUAUUGUUUAUUAUCAGCUGUCAAUGUCCUGGAGACUGGAGUUGGAUUACCGAUUUGUUUAUAUAUCGAUCGUUGUCCAUACUUCCCUUCUAUAUGUUCGGGUGGAGUUAAUUAGUAUCAUAUAAACUCUGGUCACCAUUCUGAUUAAUUGGUGUAUGUUAGUUACAAUCACACCACUUUGUCUUUGAUCACUAUUAUUAAUGAUUGUAGUUGCACUUGUCCUCCAUUUAAGCAGCUACUGCCAUCACCUGCUCUCCUCUCGGUGCUACUUUAAUUACUGUUUGAGUCUAUUUUAGAUUAAUUUUAGUUUGAAUGUUGACUGCUCUCGGUGCUAAUUUCAUUACUGUUUGAGUCUGCUCGAUGUAAGAUAAUUAACCAGACUCUAUUUCAAUUGUAUGCUCCGAGCUUAGAGUUUAUGACACACAAGAGCUUACAAAUGCAGAAAGUAUAGUGCCUUUGCAGACCAGUUUUUGCCUUUUGUUGUUCAGUGUAGGUUGUUUUUGGUCCCCUACCUGAGAUAUUACUGUAGAUUGUUUUCCUAAUUUGGUUGAAAUUAACUUAGUAUAAGGACAUAUCAUCAUGUGCCAAAUUAACUGAUCGUAAAUAUUAUAAAAAAAAUGUAUCACUAAAUAACUGAUCUUAAAUAUAUGGAUAGCUGAUCGCCAUGUUCUAGAGUUAGAUACUGCUAUAAGCGUGUUGUUGUUGUGUGUGUAUAUAUAAAUAAUAACUGGUACAAUUUCAAUAGGUGAUUUUGCAGCCUAGGCCAUGGAGGGGGUUUAAUUUCAUCGGCUCUAGAAAUAGACGAGGCUAUCUCAACUGGCCAAUCAAGCAAAUCAACAAAAAGAAGGGCUAAAGUGUGGGAUUCAGAAAGAAGGGCUAUCAUGUUGAUUCAGAGCUAGUAGAUGGGAAAGAGAAGGCGAUUUGCAAAUAGUGUAAGGUCCACUUAUCUUAUGCUACGGGUAAAGGUACAACUCAUAUGAAUAGGCACAUUUCUGUGUAUUGCCAUGCAAUGCCACCAGAAGAGAUACAAAGGUUCUUAGCGACCCAAAAAGCAAAGCCCGAUGUUGCUCAUGUUUUCAACCCUGUAGUCUAUCGUGGUCUAAUAAAAUAAGGAAAUUCCAUUUCUCUGUUGGCGCUGUUACGAGAACGAAAAAAAAUGAAAAAUGAAUCUUCUGUAUCGUUCUCGUGCCUUCAUAUUGAUGACAAUAGGGUUCAGGGUCCAGAACUGCCUCCAUUCUAAGUCAAACCACAACAUGUACAAUGUUAGGUUGCAUAGGUGUUAUAUGGACUUAAACAAUCUUGGGGAAUAUGGUAUAAUUGGCUCAGUGAAUUUCUUGUGAAGAAGGGAUAUAUAAAUAAUUCAGAUUCUUCUCACGGGUUUAUUAGAAAAUCUCAUAAGGGUUUCUAUACCAUUUUGGUCUAUGUUGAUGACAUAAAUAUCACAUGAUACGUGGAGGAUAUUGAGGAGACUAGUGUCCAUCUCAAGGCAAAGUUUGAAAUGAAAGAUUUGGAUGAAACUAAGUUUUGCUUGGGCCUAUAGGUUGAGCAUUUCCUUAAAGAAAUAUUUGCACACCAAUCAAACUAUAAUAAGAAAGUCCUCGAGAGAUUUAACAUGACCAAAACUUACCAUUUGAAGACCCUAGUGGUUGCAAUAUCCCUUAAAAGUACUAAUGUAUCAUGCAAAUUGCUAGCUAGACACAACGUAAAAUCCAAGCAAAAACAUUGGACAUGCACUAAGACUAUACAAAAAUACCUUAAAGGCACUCAAAAUCUUGGACUGUUUUCCGAACAAUUAGGACUAAACUUUGGUGGACUAUACAAAUGUUGGUUAUCUAUUAUAUUCCCAUUAUGCUAGAUCUUAGAAUGGCUUUGUGUUUCUUUGUGGUGGUACAGUCGUAUCCUAGAAAUCGAGCAAAUAUACACUAGUAGCUACGUCUACUAAUCACUCAUAGACAAUCACAUUAUAUAAAGCCACAUGAGAAUGUACUUUAGCUAUGACAUAUGACUAACACAUCCAAAAGUCAUAUGGCUUUGAUACCACAAACACCCCAUAUUUAUCUUUGAAGAUAAUGUGAUAUGUGUUGCAUAAAUAGAAAUAACCUAUAUUAAGAGUAAUAUGACUAAGCAUAUUUCUCCCAAACUUUUCUAUCCUCACAAACUCUAAAAUGAGAGUGAGGUGAAAAUUAUACAAUUCAAGUAUUUUGAUAAUCUGGCUGAUUUAUUUAGUAAAUUAUUUUCUAUAAUCACAUUCAAAAGAUAUGUUUAAGGUAUAAAAAAUAAGGCGUGUAAGAGUCAUGUAGGGUUCAAGGGAGGACACUGAAAUGUUAUCCCUUACUAUUGGGUCCAAAAGGUCAUAAGCUAUGCAAGCCUGAAGGCAGUAGUUGUUCUUAAGACAAUCAUUGUACUUCUUUUUUCUUUGUAAGUUUUCUUGAAAUUUCUCACUUAUUGUUUCUAACGAGGCAAUGAGUACAAUACAUGGACUGCCACUAUGGACUCUUCACCUUUUCUAAUGGUGUUUUUUGGAGUUUUAACGAAGCAUGAAUUACUCACGGUAUUCUCCUAAGAGAGAGUGUUAAGAACCCUACGAAGGGUUAUAUGAUAUAAUACCAAAUGUAUCCCUAGAGGACUCUACCUUUCUAUAUAAUAAACAUGUACCCUCAAAAAUAUAACAAGAUAAGAGAUCCUUCACUAUUGUCUCAUGUAUCACUUUGUUUAUGUCGCAGUGGAAAGAGAAACGAGAAACAAAUCUUCUAUAUCUUCAUCACACCUCUAUUACUGAAGGAAAAGUUAUGUGUCCAGAUCUAGGAGCUAUGAUCAUAAACUUAACUUCUCGUCAUUGUGUGAGCAUCAACGCUGAAAUUACAACUCUCAAGGAUAGUCUUUGCCAAGAUAUAAUUCUCCAAAGUCAUCUUUAUAUCCUUGAUGCAUGAUCACCUAUCCAUAAAGCCCCAUCCAAGUUUUUUUAUGAAAUAGGAGGGGUCUUGUCCCUAGCUUCAUGUAUAUUUCUGACAAAAUUGGUAUGGUCAUUUGAAACUCUUGAUGUGCACAUGAGAGGCUAGCGACAAGUCUUUUGAGCAUGCCAUAAACAAAGGUGGAAAGAAGGAAAGGGAUGGACGGACACGGGAAUACCAGCGUCAGAAGGUCCGUUGGGGUUCAAGUCGUCACACUUUGAAAGGGAAAUGUGCCCUUAGUCUAUUUCUAGUUGUUUUGGUGAUUAAAUGUUCAACACAACACAUUGGACUAACCACUUUGAUAUGAGAAUGAGUACAGGUGCAUAAAGGGCAAGUUGAAGAUAUCAAGUCCAUACGAGCUGAAUCGAAGGGCCAAAAGUGCAACUUGGAGCAAACCAACAUAAACAUGAGGUUUAAGUGUUUGAAUAAGUUGCACACACCCUACUCCAUGUUUCUAGCACUUUGUUUUGACCACUAACUCUAUUUUGCAAGAAAAGUGCAUUUUGAAUUUGGUCUUGGACAUAUUGCAAACUCUAUGAAAUGGAGAUGAAAAAGGUAUGGUCCCAACACUUAGUAAUUUGUUUUAUGUGCUAACUAUGUUUGUUUUAGUGUUAGGGAACCUCCAAAGAAGAGCCAAAAGAAAUUGGAGGAGUUUGGCUCAAAAGAGCCAAACGUGGGCCAGUCUGUGAGUCACCAGACUGUCCGGUGGUGCACCAGACUGUUCGGUGCCGCGUAUGGAUGAAGUUUGCAGCCUCAGAAAUUUUAAUUAUAAAAUUCACCGAACUAUCCGGUGUGCAUUGGACAGGGGCUCCAACGGCUCUCUCCGCCCGCCGCGUCCGCUGGCACCAACGACUAGCUGGCGUGGCAUCUGUCCGGUGGGGCACCGGACUAUCUGGUGCCACGUUGAAAAGGAAGUCGGCCAAUCAGAUCGUCGCCUAACCAUUGCUGAUCGCAUUUCGAGUGGUUCAUCGGACUGUCCGAUGCACCCGCAUACAUGGAAACUUUUCAGUUGUCUUGUGAAGACUCCAAAGGUUCCUAUGUCUCUUGGGACUAUAAAAUGGACUAUUGAUUUAGAUUUAGUGGUAUUUUGGUUUAUUUUUAUUAAUCGCAUAACUGGUAAAGGAAUACUUAGGGCAUGUUUUAGAAUACUGAUUUUCAUAUCCAUAGUUUAUAAUAUCAUAGUUUACCAAGUACUUCCUCCAUUCUUUUUUAUUUAUCGCGUUUUAGUUAAAAAAUGAACUAGCCGGUGAUAAAUAUUCGAGAACGGAGGUAGUACCAUGACAUAAAUAUAGUAUGUUUUAUAUUAAUUUAAUCCAACACAUGUUUGGAGACAUAGUAUCAUGUUUGCAAUGUAGGAGUGGAGGAGAAAGCCAAAGUUUUUAAAGUCCUAAAAAUAUUAUGGUGUUGGUGAAACCAUAAUUUGAAAUACAGAGUUUAUAGAUAACAUAUAUGCUUAUAGAUAAUAUAUAUGCUUAAAUAUCACAAUAUUAUCUUGGACUAGAAAAACAAUGUGUUUCUAAACAGGCCCUUAGGUGUUUGAAUGACGAUAAAAAUUCUUAGAUCAUAUUGUCCAAGAAAACUUUUAGGAUUCAAAAUCGUCCUAAAAAACUUAAUGUCUUAGUAGCUCUUUAAAGUAGACUAGGCCUAUAUUACCUUGGGAUUGUGGUAUUCAUGGCUUCAUGCAUUCCUUAUAUUGCUACUGUUUUCAUUUAUGUAAAAUAUUUAUGGCUAGUUGAUUGUGAACGUGGGUUUAGAACCAACAAUUAUAGUUCGAAUCUCCAUUUAUACAUAGUUUUAUUAUUUGCUCGUCACCAACAUUAUUUUUCUCGCUCAACGAAAAGGUCAUAUCUUUGUAAUCCAUACAAUGCAUUGCUUUCAAGCAGGUGAAGCAAAGCAAAGCCAAUAAUGAUUCAUUCAUUCAGUAGGAGAAAGGAGAUGAGAUCUCAUACAUAGUUGAUUCAGAGUACAGACAUAAGACAUCAUCAGAAAUUCAUAAUGCAGCAGCCUAUGACCAGGCCCUUCUCUUGAGUCAGUGACCCCCCUUCCUCGCGCAAGCAGGCUGACAAAUGUUGGAACACUAGCCCCACAGUGGCUGGCUGUCUGACGCAAACACCACUCGAGAAGUCCGAGAUGCAUCGCACCCGGCCUCUUUUAUUUUGGGAUCGCCGCAGCCAGCAGAAUUAUUAUUAGGGUACCAGCUAGUAGUUUCUUUCGUUCGUUCCUGCAAACGCAAGCAACAACAACGAGAGUCAGCAAUGGUGGUUGUAUUGUACUAGAGAGUCAUUAGUAGGUUAGGUGGAACUGGAAGAGGGCAAACCGCAAAGGCACAGUGAGUAGUUGACUUACACCAAGGGAGGAUCUUCCAGCGCUGGUUGUCGCCCUCGCACCACUUCCAGAGCACGAUCUCGGUACCGUCAUGGACGCCGCCGUGGGCCUUGUCGCCGUGGAAGGCGUCGAAGUUGAGGUAGAUGUUGUUGACCAUGCGGACGCAGCGGAAGCCGUUGCCGACGUCGCGGCUCUCGGUCCAGAGCACGGACUCGUCCUGGUAGUCCGGGUUGUAGGGCACGAGCUUGACGGGGUGGCCCUGCCCCGUGGAGUGCUUGAGCGCCUCGCCGGUGACCUUGUUGACGAGCGCGAAGGCCGGGUAGCCCUCCUC